rnacentral:lncRNA from 1 species
AGUGUCAAAAGUAAUUUUUAUUUCAAUAGAGAGUUUGAUAAUUUAUUUUAUAAAAUCUGAUUCUAAUUUUUAGAGUCGGAAUUCUAAUUUUAGAGACCACAAAAUCUAAAACAAUUAAAACCUAUUUUUAAAAAUUUGAUCUUGAUUUUGAAUUCAAUUUUUAAAUUUACAUUAAUUUUGGAUUCGACUGCACUUUUUUUCUUUUGGAUUAGAUUUCCUUUGUAUUGAGCUGGUAUACUAUCGGUAGUACGGAGGCCUCCGUACUACCGAGUUGUUUUCAAUGAUACGGCUUCCAAAUCGACGAUCGGCUUUACUAGAUUUGAUCUACACUAUUGAAAGUAUUUGGAACUAAAUUUCAUAAUUUUUCGAUAUUAUUUACCUAUCAAACAAGUAGUUUAAAAAUGAUCGACUGAAAAUAAAAAUCUCAUAAAAUAUGAUGAUAAAAGACUUGAAUUUAAGAUCAAAAGUACUGAUCUUACUCUAAAUAGUCUAAAAAAAAUUUCUAUAAAAAUUUUAUUAGAUUUGGAUUGUUUACACCGUUAAAUUCACAAACGCACACAUCUACCAUUAAAAUUGUUAAUUUUGAGAGCUUUUGAUCACUAGCCAAAUGAUGUCGAAAAAUUAUGAAACUUAGCUUUCAAAUACUUUUAAUAGUGUAGAUCAAGUCUAACGGAACCGAUUGGCGAAUUGGAAAGCUGCAUCAUUGAAAACAACUUAAUAGCACGGAGAUCUUUAUGCUACCGAUAGUAUACCAGCCUAGCUAUUCAGUUCAAUCAUACAAUUACUAGUAUAAAAUGUACCGACCGAUUAGCUACUAAGGCAUAAUACAAGCAAUCUCUUAUUUGUAUUAGAGCUAAUCAGACAUAUAUUUAAGAUCCAUCUUCUCCAACAAGUGAACUUCAAACUCCUGCUGAUUAAGCGCUUUAGUUAGCGGGUCCGCCACGUUAUUUGCAGAGACGUACUACAUUCCAACGUUUUACCAACGAAAUAAAAAUGAAAAAAUUAAACGACUUAAUCCAUUACCUAGGUACAAACCAAAACAACGAGCGGAAAAAUGUUCAUCGCACCGUUAGGUAAUUUAUUAAGCAACAAACAAUUAGCCCCUCACUUCGAUGAGAUUUUAUUAACCCUUUAUUAAAAUAAUAAUUCGAUGAAUCAUGUGAUUUACUCUGCACGCAAAUCUUAAAACAUAUUAAUUUUAAUUAAGAAUUUUUUUGUCCGAAUCUCGACACAUAGAAUAAGAUCAUGUUCCUCACUUAAUUUUUUUUAAUUAUUUUUUCUAUUUUUUGGUGAAUUCUUGUUGCAUGCCAACGAGUCAAAAGUAUUGUUCUCUCAAAGGUAUCGCAAAACUUGUCGCUUGUGAUUUUGGCUAGGUUCGGUAGGGGUGCACUUUUUUUUUCUUUUUUUUAUUUUAAUUUUAAUGUUUUGGAACUUGGGUUAAAGCCUAAGACCCAACAUUGAAGGAUUCUUUAUUGAUUUGGACUUUGUAGUGGAACAACAGUACGCUUUCUUGGUCUAAUCGUGCAGAUGUGCCGUGGAGCUUUGGGCAACUCUGAAGCACUUUCCAGAGUACCUGUGACAUCACGAAACAAUUUUACAUAUUAUAUUAUAUUAUAUUAUAUAUAUAAGAACGUUAAAUUUUUUAAUCCGAUUAUAAUAUUUUGAAUGGUGAUUAGACCUAAGAUAUUGAUAUAAUUAAGUAUGUUAGGACUGGAGUAGCUCUAUGAUGAGUGACUUUCUGGAAAGCGGGAGUCACCAUUGGUAUCAGAAUCAAUCACCGGUCGGAAGCGUGAGAUCAGUCUUCUUGUACUAGAGUCGUACAGUCGGUAGAGCAUGGCUCCCUAGUUGACGUCCGUUGCAGGUAGAGCACGGUUCCCCAUAAAGUCGGUUAAAAUUAGCGAGACGAGUUUCAUAUCGUCUGCUGCUUGUGAGUAUACUUAAGCCUAACGAGAACGUCAGGACUUAAAAGAGGGGAGAAGUGUGACACCUUUCAAAGUAGGACUAAAUCUUUUAAUCUAGCUAUAAUAUUUUAUGUGUUGAUUCGAUUCAAAAAGUUAAGAGAGUUAAGUAUUUUAGAAACUAAAGUAGUUGUAGAAUGGGUUACCCCCACAAAAAGCGGAACGUCGGCUUUUGUUCCUAGCUUAAGAUAAUUUGUUAAUAAGUCGAGUGAGACUGCGGUCCACAAUAAAUUUAACAAUAAGAGGCUUAACAACAGACCUAACGUCUUUCAAGUCCACGAGUGUUGUGCUUGAAUCUUUAAAGUGCUAUGGAUGUGUCUUAAUUAGUAAAAAUUAUAAUUUCUUCUGGAACAAAAAUUUGAAAGCCACUUAUCUAGUUCCGCCGAAUAGAGAAGCUAGUAAAGAGGUUUAAAUAGCAGUUUCUCUAAAAAUUGUUAACGUAUCUUUCUGUUUUCUGAUAAUAUUUAUCAAAUAAUAUAUAAUCAGAUGAUGCAACAAUCACAUAUACAGUCAAACGGACCCUAAAACAACUUAAGCUAAGAGUUUGAUGGCUGGUAUUUAAAAUAUCAAAUUUAAAAUAUAAUUAUUUUAUAUUUUUGUUUGAUUAUUUUAUAUAAUUUUAAUAUUUUAUGACAACAGAAAAUCUUGUGUGCGAGUGUUCAACAUAUAAUAUUAAAAAAUACCAUGUUCAAAAACCUAAACUUUUAAAUGAUGAUCACCAAGGCCAGCAGGCCAAGCAAUGAGCAAACCAACAUUUUAAUUUCAAAGGUUUAAAUUGAAAACACACUGCAUUAAAGAUAGAUCCGGUAAAGGAAAAAAUGGUUCAAGAACACUGAAUUGACUGAAUCAAACUUUUAAAAUCUUUUCAAAUGAAAAAUAUAAUAAUAAAAAACUUCAGAAUUUGCUCUAAUAUAUAUCGCAUAAAAACAGUUGUUUGGAAUUCAUUAAUGUCAACAAAAGCGGCAGUCGACAUGAAAUAAGAGCCUCAAAAUUAAAGACUAUGUAACAAGAUCAUCAUCAUCAUCAUCAUCUCCACUAACACAGCCAAAACAGGAGGAUGAGUGGCUCACUCUCCCAGAACAAAACGAUGGGCCGAGUUGAGAACAAACCAUGCAUAUAUAUAUAUAUAUAUAAUAAAGUAUAUAUAUAGAGAGAGAGAGAGAGAGAGAGAGAGAGAGAGAGAGUGAGAGAGUUNAAACAAACAAACAAACAGACCAAUAAGGGAAACUGAAAAUGUGGUGAUCGAUCAUGAUUUACAAAGGAAAAGAAAAGCAAGCAAGCCUCGAUGGAUCACCACUCCCAUGCACAAAAAUGUUAAAACGCAAUCUUAUAAUUAAUUUGUACAAACAUUUAUAUAUAUAUAUAAAUGUAUAUGUAUAUAUAGUAGUGUUUUUGAGUAAUUAAGUAAUUAGAGGAUUGGUAGGGAGGGGGGGGGUCAGGAGGAGAGGCGGUUGCAGCGCCAGGCGGAGACGGAGUAGAGGGGGCGCUCGUGCCAGCAGAAGAAGAAGCAGCCGUUCCAGUCGUCGACUUUGUAACCGUCGCGGCCGAAGGUCUGCAGCAGCUUGCGGGCCUCGAGCAGGGCGUCGAAGCUGAGGGGGACGUGGCCGAAGCCGGCGUCGCGGAGCCGCUGCGCCCACCGCUGCAGGCGCUCGUGCCGCUCCCGGCGCUCGGCGCCCUCGCAGGCGACGAUGUUGCGGAUCUGCUCCCCGAGCAGCAGCCGCUCGACGCGGCCCCACUCGGCGGCGCUGCGCGGGGCCGUCGUCUCCAGGCAGUCGAACAUGGCGGCGUAGUAGUACAGCGCCUCCGAGAAGCGCUCGCAGAAGGCGGCGCCGUUGUGGUUGGCCUCCUGCUCCGUCACCACCACGAUCUUCGGGGCCAGCGCCAGCAGGCCGGAGAGGAAGGACUCGAUCCUCCUCGGCGAGUGCGGCGGCGUGGGGGCGAGGGAGUGCGCGUCGGGGCUGGGGCUGAACGGGUGGCCUCGGCCGUGGCCGUGGCCGAGGGAGAGCUCGCGCUCGAGGAGCUCGCCGAAGGAGCCGGGGCUGAGGUGGUGCGCGUGGCGGAGGGCGAGGGCGGCGGUGCUGUUGGAGUCGGCGGCGGCGGCGGCGGGGGGGAGGAGGGAGUGGAGCUGGAGGACGGAGGAGACGGCGAGGGCCUCGCCGGUCUUGACGCGGAGGGAGUCGAAGUCGAGGGCGUCGAGGCGGGAGAGGACGGGGUGGAACUGGAAGGACAUGUCGUGGGCGUCGGCCUCCUUGGAGAGGAGGGCGGAGGUGCGGUGGAGCGCGUCGGGGUCGUCGUGGACGGCGGUGAUGCGGAGGUGCGGGGGGCCCUCGGGGCGGGCGCGGAGGGCGCGCAGGAGGGCCAGCCACUGGGCCGGGUCGGCGGCGGGCCCCGCCAGGUCGACGAUGUGCACCACGCGCUCCCCCUCCAUCUGCUCCAGGAUGGCCUGGUUCGACGUCAGGAACGCCAGCUUCAGGAACGGGCAGAGGUCGAAGAAGUGCCGCCGCGUCGCCGCCAGCAGCAACGGGUCCGACGACGCCGCGGGCGCCAGCAGCGCCUCGUACGCCCCCGGCAGCGGCCGCCGGAGCAGCCGCCGCGCCAGGGCGUCCGUGAAGAUGGUCGCCAGCCGGUGGACCCUGGUCGCCUGCCCCCCGCCGCCGCCGCCGCCGCCGCCGGUCGGAGAGGCGGAGGAGGCGGAGGAGGAGGAGGAUGAUGACAGCAGCCCGGCGAUGCGCGCCAGGCAGGCGUCCGCGCGCUCCAAUGAGCCGGCGUCGACGUCGAAGGCGCACUGCCGCAGCAGGUUGAUCAGCUCCACCCCGCGGUCGCCCGACGCCGCCGCCGCCCACGGGCUCCCGCCGUACCCCAGGAACGGCGUCGGGGACGACGCCGCCGCCGCCGCCGCGAACGGCGCCAGCGCCCACGGCGACUGCAGAAGCAGCGGCGACGACGUCACCGUCGACGGCGAGAACUCGUCCUGCCCCAUCUCGCCCGCUCGCCGAUUAUUCGCUCUACGUACCCUCCUCCUAUUUAGAUAUUAGAUAUUAUUAGAUAUAGUGUUACUGUGCGUAUGGAGUAGUAACUUGCGUGGUCGCGGUGAAAUACAGACAGAAGCGAGGAGCGGAAAGGCGGAAAUAAAAGAGCGAGAGAUUCGUGCAGUCGAGCGACAAGCGCGAAGGGAGCGUUUGUCCGCAUCGAUUUGGUCGGCAGGGGAUGGGCCGGGGGCGAAUUUCUUUUUUCGUUUCCUUUUUCUCAAAUUCUUUUAACAGCAGGCGACGCGACAAUAACAAGUCCAAUUCAAGGUCACGCUUCUGUCGUUUUGCAGCGGUGCGGGUGGGGAAUAAACACUAGUGAGAACAGGAGGAGGCGGCCUCUGUCAUUCCACUUAUUCUCUACCACCGGUAGAGUCCACGGAGGCUCUCCCAAAAGACAAGAAGCCAUUCCUUUGGGUUUGUCUUCAGUGCCAGUGGCGAGGUGGUGUUUGCGAGGCGGCACACACCCACCCACACACGGUCUCUCUCUCUCUCUCUCUCUCUCUCUCUCUAAAUGGUCCAGCAUUUUGUUCUGUGACGAAAGUUUAUAUUAAAACGAGUCAUAUUCGAAGUGGCGUGAGGCUGGUUGGACUGAGUCAUGUUCGAAGUGAAUUGAUUACGUAUUUCUAACAAUUCGAGCUUUUCGGAUUAAUGAUUAGUGCCAACGAUCCUACAAGUGGUAUGGCGGAAGGUCAUGUUAGGUCGAAUUAUGUUCGAAAUGACGUGAGGCUGGUUGGGCCGAGUUAUAAUCAAGAUCUGUAAACGCUGUAUCUGUACAUUUUAAAUAAAUUAAUUACGUAUUUCUAACCGCUCGAAUUUUUGAGAUUAAUGAUUGGUGUCCACGAUCCGACACUCUCCUCCCCUCCCAGUGGGUGAAUGAAUCCACGAAUGAAUGGAGUAAUUGACGAAAGGGGUAUUGAGUGGGCGAAUGAGUGAAGGAAUGAGUCCAAAGAAGAGAGUGCGAAAUGCCUCCCCUGCUUUUGUCGGCUUCUCCGCGGCUUCUUUGGCGCUUCCCAAACCUGCCCGGUAUGAUAGUUUUUUUUUUUUUUUUUUUUUUUUUUUUUUUUUUUUUUUUGACGAAGGAGAUAUGCGACGAAGGAGAUAUGCAGCACGCUACCCGCUUCGUUUAUUUUAUUUAGAAAUAAACUUAGUUAGAAAUGUGAAUCAACUAGGAUUCGAACUUAGAUCUUGGAUACCAACCACUAAGCCUUUUGCCACUUGCGCUAGAGACGGUCAGUUGCCCGGCAUGAUAGUUAAGGACAAGCAAACAAAGCAGACGAGAAAAGCGACGAGAGAAGGGAAAAAGUCUACAAUACAGUACUUCUUGUAUUGUUCAUAUCAUAUUUUCAAUUAAAAUUAAAUUAUUUUUAGACUGUAAUUCAUUUCGAUAUAAGUAAGAAUUAUCUAUUUUAAAAAUAGAUACAAUUAUUGACCGUCUCUAGAGCAUGUGGCAAAGGGCUUGGCGGUUGGUACUCGAGCCCCAAGUUCGAAUCCUAGUUGAUUCACAUUUCUAGCUAAGUUUAUUUUUAUUUGAAAUAAAUGAAGCGGGUCUUUCAAAAAAAAAAAGAUACAAUUAAGUUCAAAUAUAAGUAGAAAUUAAAUUAAUUUUACGUUUGAAUAAAAAUUAAAUUAUUUUUGAAAAUAAGAUAAAUAGUAUUUGAAUGGUUAAAUUGAAAUGAGAAGAAACAAUAUUUUAUCUAAUUAAUUUAAUUAGUAAAAAUAUCAAAAUAUUAAUUUAAAAUAAUUUAAUAAAUUAAUAAAUUUAUUAGCUAUGAAUAUUGUAGAAUAUAACAAAAGUCAUAUUAAUUAGUUAAUUAAAUGCAAAUGAUAAUAUAAAAUUUUUAAUUAGUUAGUAAAUUAUUUUAAUUAGAUAACUGGUAAAAAAUUUGAUUAGAUAACGAAAAUGAAAAUAUUAAUGGUUGAUCAAUAUAAGUAUUAGUUUAUGGAUAAACAUAUUAAAUUAUUAAUAAUUAAUUAGUAAUUAUAAAUAAUUAAUUAAUUAAUUACUUUAUUAUUUAAACAAUGAAUAAUGAUUUAAAUAUAUUAAUUAUAUAAAUUAAUAAUUUAAUACCAUAAUUAAAAUUAAAUUUAGACUUUAAUUAAUUUUAUUCUUACUUGAGAACAAGCUUAUUCCAAAAAAAAAAAGUGGAACAAUAGUUCCCAACUUAUACCAAAUUAUAAUUCCAGGGCCCGACAACGUCUAAACAAUUAAAUUGUUCCUCCGGAAUUCAUCCAUCCCAUCAUAAAAUUUACUUUAAAGUUAAAAUUAUUUCAUGCAUUGUAGAUAACUAAUAUUUUGAAAUUGAAAUUCAAUUUAAAAAAUGUGAUUUGUAACAUUAGAGGAUUAUAUAUUAAAGUUUUGUUUUGAAUUCUAUUAUCUAGAUAUUAAUUAAAUCACCCUAAAUAUCACCAGUAUAUAUAUAGAAUUAAUGGGAGAUUCAAUUUAUCUCUUCUUUUGAAAAUUAACAUUUAAAAUUAAUAUUUAAAAUUCGUUAAUCAUUUAAUAUAUAAAUUUUGAUAUAUGUAGAUCUCUAUAAUAAAAUUUUAAGGGCAUUGGCUAGAUGUGAAAAUUUGGCACUUCAUGACAUUUUUUUUUUUCUAGGUUUUUAAUGCCAAACAUUGGUAAGCAAAUGUUUGCUUCCCAAAAAACAUUAAUUGUGCUUUAGCACAUUAAACAUUAACACAAACCACAUGACACAAGGGUUUUAGGGUUUAUUUUAAUAUGAACAUUAAUGAAAAGUGACAUUCAUGAGGAGUACUAGCAAAGGUAAUCUCAAAAGUGGAUUAAUUUGUGAUCCCUUGGAAGGAUAUAUAUAUUCUUCUAUUAAAAUUAAAAUUAGGGAGCAAAAUCUUAAUUUGUAAAAUGCCAAGUAUAAUCACAUGCUUCUUUGAUUGUACCGUAGUAAGAGUUUAACUUUUCUCAAUCCAAACAAAGUUCUAAAGAUGAAGUUGACAAUUAUUUUCUUUUUUUUUUUUGUGAUUUUCUCUAGAAAACAGUUUUAGAAUUGAUGGGCAAAUAUUUGAUUAUCCAUUUUGUCCUUGUUAUAACAUUUGUUGUCUCUCUUGUCUCACUUUACAUGAUGUUUUAAGCUUAAUUGGUUUGUCUUUAGUUUCUUUGAUCAAUGUCAUUAUUUUUUUUGUCUGAAUGAAUGAAGCAAAUAACGUGCUAUUUUUUUCUCAAAAAAAAUAUUAUUAUUUCUUUAGAUUUUCAAUUUGCCAUUAUCUUUUAUUUAUUUAUUUAUCUAUUAUAAAAAUUUAUUUCUAGGCAUCAUAUUGCAGGACUUGAACUCAAAAUUUUCUACUCAGAUACUACAUUAAAUAAUAUAAAAUAAUUUUUAUUUUUGAUUAAGCUGUUAGAAAAUAGUGUAAUUCAACGAUGCCAAAUCAUGACUUGAACCAAGAGGAAACAUUCUGAUGUGGUUCGAGGUCACAAGUUCGUCAGCUUGAGAUCCAAAUUUUUUCUUUUGAUGUGGUUCGAGGUUAAGAGGAAAUAUUCUGAUGUAUUGGGUGACUGUUUUUUCCUUCAUAUUUUUUUUCUUAUUUGGUUUCUUUUUUUCUAUCACGCGCUUCCGGUUUAAGAGCUUGAUUUAUUUUUUCAUUUAAUAUGAAAGUUUAAAGGGCCGAUGUAUAGAUUUUUUCCUCUUCUUUUCUUAUGGCUCAUUACAACAAAAAAGAUGUAUAGCGAUACUUUUAAAUAUCGGUACAGGUCAAAAAAAAAUACUGCUGGCUAAAUUAUCGACACUUCUCAAAAAUAAUAUCGGUACAGGUUAAAAAAAGUACUGCUGGCUAAAUUACCGAUACUUUUUAAAAGUGUUGCUAUAUGUGGGGUCGCUAUAGGUAGGGCCGCCUUGAUAUUUGGCACUCACUCCUCCAGCGACCGAUGACAAAGGAAUAUGUGGCGACCGUAGCCCUCUACAGUCCCUGCGAGAUCUUCGCGGCCGAACUCCAGCUGCCGGAACCCUACCUCAUUGAAUACGGCGGCGGAGGAGGAGAUCAGGGGCGAUGGCGAUCAAUUUUUUUCUUUUUUAUUUGUAAUCGGGCCGAGCGGGCUGGAUAUGGUUGGUUGAGCAGAGAAACUUUUUGUUUUUGAUUAGGUUGGGCUUUAUAUUUAAGUAUUAGUAGAUUUUUUAAAAAAAAAAUUGACAUAAAUGGAACAUUUAUAUAAAAAUUUUUCAAAAAUGAAUCUCUGUAAUCUAAUUCUGUUGUAGUGGUUGGGGAUCACCACUUUUAUCUUUCCCAUUUAGUUUCGGGUAUAUUUCCUUUCCCCUUUUUUUUCUUUUUUUCUGUGAAAAUUUACUCCACUUACUUUUUCAAGGCUAGUUUUAUUAGUAUUAUUAUUAUUAUUAUUAUGUAAUCAUGCUCUUUUUCUUAAAGAAUUACCUUCGGGCUUUUCUCUCUCAAAAAAAAUAUAUAGCUCUUUUUUUGGGGGGGUUUUAAUUGAGGUCAUAGGGCUAAGUCCAAUAAGGAUUAAUCUCACCUAUCUCAUUGUCCACAAGUUAAUUUAUAUACUUGUAUGUAUAAUUCUUCCUAAGGUGGAUGUGAAAAAGGAAAUUAGUUCUUUAUUAUGUGUUUUGUCGCCCAAACUUCCUUGUUUUCAUCUAUACCAUUUGUUGUAUGGUGGUGAAAUGUAGGAUUAUAUAUGCUUUCUCACUAAGUUGUGUAAACAAGGUAGAAUCCUAAGAGCAAGGGCUUUUGUGUCUCCUUACUUUGCUUGUUUAGUUGUUGUAUGUAGCUUUUUCAAUUUGUUUAGUUCUAAGAAGAUACCCGUAAAAUUUUGGGCAUAUUUUGUCCUUCUGAGCUCUUAUUUUUUGUGUCCUCUUUACAAAUUCUUGCUAAUCAUGUUGUCUAUUCUUCAUGCAUUGAGUUGAAUUAAAGAGCCUCAUGUUUAACUAAACUUGUUUAGAGAUUGCUAAUGGUCCAGCCUAUUAGCAUUAGUAAGUUGUUAGGAUCUAAGAUGUUUAAUUAAACUCAGUUAUUAAUAUGGUUAUCAAUAAGCCAAAUACGAGUAAGCUGGCGUCGGCUCGUAAUCGCUUGUUUAUUACACGAGCGAACACGAGCUUGCUCGUUAAAUGAAAAAUUCAAGUUAUAUUCGGUUUGUUUAUUAACAAAGCGAAUACCAAUUGACUCAUGAACAGUAAAUUAGACUAUCAGUUUUACUACUGGUUGAAAACUUGAAAGAGAAUUAGAAAAUUAGAUACAAAAUAUAGGUCCUUUUACAUAUGAAAUUCGUAUUUUAUAUAUAUAUAUAUAUAUAUAGAGAGCAGUGCUGCUGUGCUCUCACUCCUGAGCCGUUUUCGAUAAUAAAAUUUCCGAAUCGAUGAUCGGCUCCGUUAAACUUGAUCUAGCGUAUUUAAAGUUUCUAGAAAAUAAUUUUUGCGAUUUUUCGAUAUCAUUUACCUAGCAAUCGAAAGGAUUCAAAAUCAAUAAUUUUUAACGGCUGAAAAUAAAAAUCCUAUAAAAAGUGGUGAUAUAGCUCUAAAAUUUUCGAUCAGAAAUAUUGAUCUUGUCGUAGAUAGCAUAAAGAAUUUUCUAUCAAAAUUUCAUCUGAUUUGAAUACUUCUACACUGUUAAAUUUGAAAACGGCAAAUAUCAACUAUUAAAAAUUAUGGAUUUUGAAUCCUUUCGAUCGCUAAGUAAAUGAUAUUAAAAAAUCGCAAAAAUUAUUUUCUAGAAACUUCAAAUGCGCUAGAUCAAGUCUAACGGAGUCGAUCGUCGAUUCGAAAAUUCCAUNUACUAUCGAUAGUAUAGUAGCAUAUAUAUAUAUAUAUAUAUAUAUAUAUAUAUAUAUAUAUUAUUAAUGGAAUAUUUUGAGAGAAAAAUUGUUAAAUAUAAAAAUGUUUAAAUACCGUUAUCUAACAGCUUAAGCUUUUAGAGUACAACGGUUGUUUCACAAAAAUAAUAUGUUAUUCGCUUUAAUUUUUUUAUAAAAAUAAAUUUAACUGAAAAAAAUGAAGCAACUAGGUUUCAAAUUUAAAAUUUCAGAUAUCAUACCAUUUGUGGCAAAAAAUAUUGUUAUCGGACUUGAGAUUACAUUACAGCAGAUGAAACGUACGUUUUCACUUGCAUCAUCUAAAUCCAAUUAAUUGUGUGUAGAUGCACGUUCAAACAUUAAUAAUAAUCUUUUUUAAAGCACAAGCAGGCGAGUAAUUAAACACGCACGUACGUCCCCAUCCACAGACAUACAUGUUGUUCCUACACUAGAUGUGGCGAGAAACUCAUGUUACACUAGUUUAUGUGUUAUUUAAAAUAGCAUACAUUGAAAAUAUUUAACUAUAUAUGGUAGCAAAGUCCUCGCAUUUUAUGAGGUCAAGUUCACAAUAUUAGGAAUAUAUUAGCAUAUAUUCAUUCAUAGCAUUGAAAUGUAAUAUUAAGAGUAAAAAUGUACGAGAGUUUUGAAUCAACUAUCCUGUCUUUUAGAAUUUUAAUUUUACCGUCAAAUUUUUUUAUUUGUUUGAUUUGACUUAACCAACGAUAGUUUAACUUUAAAAUUUAAGAGUUACGAGAAUUACAUAAAAUAUAUUAGACAAACAACAGAUUAAAAUUUUAAUACUAAGUCAAAACAAAUAAAUUUAAAUAUUGAAUAGUAAAAUUAAAUUUUUGAAAAGUGGGGGUCUAUGGUUCAAAUAAGUUUUAAAUAUUUUUUUACUUUAUUUGAAUGAAAGAACAAGCUAUUUAGUUUUUCUAAAAUUCCCUAACCCUUUCUCUCUCUCACUUAGGCUUUUGUGUAAACGCAACAAGGAAAUGAAAAGGUCCAUUCAAAAAAGUUCGACUCAAAACAAAUUUAUUAAUACUAUAGCGACAGUCAAAGUAAAAGUCAAAUGUGCAAUCAUUGACUAAAACUUGGUCACUGGGUGAAUAAGUCAACGCUUUGCAAGCCCACUUAAAUAAACCACAACGCCCAACUAACCAUGAACCACGGACUAAUCACGAUCAUCAACCCACGGUCUUUAAUUAGAGAGAACUUAGUGCACCAGAUUUUAGUAAAUAAUGUUUUAAAAUUAAAAUCUAAUAUGAUAUAUAUGACUGACAUCAUUUAAAUAAAUCAGUAAUUAGUGGUAGAUAAAGAAUCAUUAUUUGAUUAAUAAAGUGUACGUCUUUAAAAUUUAUAAUUUUUUUUUUACAGGAGGCUUCUAAAACAUCUUAUUGAUCACAUCUAUUAAGUUAGAUUUUAAUUUUGAAACGGUUAGAGAAAUGCGGUGUGUGGAACGUACCUAUACACCCCGCGCAGGGAAUAAUUUCUCUCAUCUUUCAGUUUCCAUAACUAUAUAAGCCUAAGCAAUGAUCAGACCCAAAUCCUGCAAAAAUAGCCUAAAUUUUUUUUUUCCCAUUUUUUUUUUUUUUUUUUUUUAACAUUUGUGAUCUCUUACACUCACAAACAACUCAGAGCUCGCGACUCAUCGUCCCUACAAUCGAAGCCAAUUUCGCAAGCUCCAACCCUAGCCAUGGAGAUCGCCAACAAGGCGGCGCUCAACCCCUUCUUCUUCGCCGGCUCCUCCACCCUCCUCGGCCGCGCCGUCGCGGUCCGCGUCCUCCUGUCCCGCUCCCUCCCCGGCCUCCUCCGCGCGCAGCUCGCGCGGCGCCUCCACCGCGGGAACGCGCGGAGGAUCCUCGCGGCGGCGGCGCUCGUGGCGCUCCUGCUGCGGCGCAUCGCGGGGGCGCGGGCGCGCGCGGCGGCGGCGUGCAGGCGCGGGUUCUGGCGCGAGGCGAUGCGGAGCGCGCUCUCGUACGAGGAGUGGGCGCACGCCGCGAAGAUGCUCGACGCGGAGACCCGGCCGAGGGCGAGCGAGGGCGAUCUCUACGACGCGGAGCUGGUGCGGAGCAAGCUCGCCGAGCUGCGGCGGCGGAGGGAGGAGGGUUCGUUGAGGGAUGUGGUGUUUCAUAUGCGCUCCGAUUUGAUCCGGAAUUUGGGGAACAUGUGCAAUCCCGAGCUCCACAGGGGGCGCCUUCAGGUAUAUUCAUCAUCAUUUCUAUUUUCGACGGGUUUGUUGGAGUCGAUGGUAGUGCUGUUUGAGUAACACGGUGUCGCUGUCAGAGUAAGAGUUAUAUCAAUUAGUACGAUAUUGAAGUUUUUGCUCGCUUUGGAGGCUCAAAAUAAUCGCAUUUCCACUUAAGAGAAUAGAAGUUUUUGUUUUAUCAAAGUCAAAUUGAUCUAUACUAUUAAAAAUUUUAGUUCUUGUAGGUGUGAACUCCAUUAAUUUCGAUUGUACAUCAUGCCCGCUUAGUGACAUCUUUUGCAUAUCACUCUUGAUCAACUUUCAUAUCAUUCGCUUACCCUGCACUUAUUUAGUUUCCUGUUAUGAGACAUCCACGUUGUUACAAUAUAUACAGGUGCCUAAACUCAUAAAGGAAUACAUUGACGAGAUCUCAACUCAACUAAAGAUGGUGUGCAACUCUGACUCCGGCGAGCUGCUCCUCGAAGAAAAGCUUGCGUUCAUGCACGAGACACGGCACGCGUUCGGCAGGACGGCCCUGCUCUUGAGCGGCGGUGCUUCGUUAGGAAACUUUCAUGUAGGCGUUCUGAAAACACUCAUACAGCACAAGCUUCUCCCUAGGAUCGUUGCGGGAUCGAGUGCGGGUUCGAUCUUGUGCGCUAUCGUCGGAACACGGUCGUGGCCUGAGCUCGAGAGCUUCUUCGAGGAUUCUUGGCUUUCUCUGCAGUUCUUCGAUCAGAUGGGCGGUGUAUUCACAGUGCUGAAGCGGGUGAUGACGUACGGGGCAGUUCACGAUAUUCGGCAACUGCAGAGGCUUCUGAGACAUCUCACGAGCAACUUAACAUUUCAAGAGGCUUACGACAUGACGGGCCGCAUCCUCGGCGUCACCGUUUGCUCUCCUAGGAAGCACGAGCCGCCUCGAUGCCUUAACUACUUGACUGCGCCUCAUGUCGUUAUAUGGAGUGCGGUGACUGCUUCGUGCGCAUUUCCGGGCAUCUUUGAGGCGCAAGAGCUAAUGGCGAAGGAUCGGUUUGGGGAGCUUGUUCCUUUUCAUGCGCCCAUUUCGGUGGUGGGAUGCGGCGAGGAAGCUUCGAGCGGUUCGGCACGGCGUUGGAGGGACGGAAGCUUAGAGAGUGAUUUGCCCAUGAUGCAGUUGAAGGAUUUGUUUAACGUAAACCAUUUCAUUGUUAGCCAAGCCAAUCCCCACAUAACCCCAUUUUUGAGGUUGAAGGAGCUGGUUAGAGCUUACGGAGGCAACUUCGCCGCCAAGGUAGUUUUUUUUUUUUUUUUNUUUUUUUAACUUUCAAGAUCUCUGUAAUUUAAAUUGGACAUCUUUACCAUGUGGUGUCUAUAACUUCUCUAGUUGCUAUGUUUCUGUUUUCAAGACGCGAGAAAUGUGAUACAGUUAUUCAUAAUGCAGCUUGCGAAUCUUGCUGAAAUGGAGGUCAAGCAUCGAUGCAAUCAAAUUUUGGAACUUGGCUUUCCGUUGGGAGGUAUCGCUAAAUUGUUCGCGCAAGAUUGGGAGGGCGAUAUCACGAUGGUUAUGCCGACUACACUCUCUCAGGUGCUUCUGACACCCUUCUUUUCCUCUUCAUCUUUUAAUUCCAAAUCCAACCUAUCAUCAGUAACUAAUUUUUUUUUUUUUUUUUCCCCCUCUUGAUCCUCAGUAUUCGAAGAUUAUACAGAAUCAAUCUUACUCAGAGCUCCAAAACGCAGCCAACCAAGGCAGGAGAAGCACUUGGGAGAAGCUCUCUGCGAUCAGGGCAAACUGUGCGGUCGAACUUGUAUUGGACGAGUGCGUCGCCCUUCUUAACCACACGCGUAGGCUUAAAAGAAGUGCGGACCGAGCUGCUGCUGCUGCUGCUGCUUCUUCUCAAGGAUGCACCAGAAAUAAAAGAUUCAAUGCUCCAAGGAGAAUCCCAUCUUGGAAUCGCAUUGCGAGCGAGAACUCAUCAGGUUCUCUCGAAGAAGAGUUCCUCACGGAUUCCUCUGCUUCAGUUCACCAAGGAAUGGACAGAAACCUUCGUCCCCGACCAAGUGUAUAUGAAACUAGUGAUAGCGAGUCGGAGAGCAUAGAUUUGAAUUCUUGGACAAGAAGCGGCGGGCCUCUCAUGAGGACCGACUCGGCGAAGAAGUUCAUUAGUUUCAUUCAGAAUUUAGAGAUCGCGUCAGAAUUAAAACACAGUAGUCCAAGGGAAGAUGAGCUUAAUGCUUCAGCAGUAAACAACUCGAAUUCUGCGUCCGCUCAGAUGGUAAGUCCAUCAUACGCUAGCUCAAGAGAAAAUACAGACGGUGAAUCAUGCGAGGCUCGCGGCAGCAGAGCCCUUCUUGCAAGUGCUUCUACCAGCUUUAUGGUUUCCGAAGGUGAUCUAUUGCAGCCUGAAAGGACUGACGGCGGAAUUCUGUUCAGUAUUGUGAAAAAGGAGAAUCUGUUUGUACAAGGAAACGGCGAGACCGAUCUGCGGUUAGGCUGUAUGAGAGAAGCUGAUGUAGAAUCUGUAAAAGCUGAAUGCCACGAUGCUCUUUCGGCAUGCGACGAUGAUGGUGACGACGACGAUGACGAUGAUGAUGAUGCUGCUGCUGCAUCAGAUUGUGACUGAACAUUUGAUCAAUGUAUAGCGAUUGGAUAGAUAGAAAGCUGAUGAGGUUACCGAUUUUAGAACCCAUGAGCUCGGGUGUUCGUUACAAAAGAGGAGUCAGAUGUAAUAUUGUUUUAUGGCAUAUUUUUGUUUAGUUUUCUCUUUUUUGUGAUUGUAUCAGUUUUUACUGAGAAGGCGAAUUUAUAGUAAAAAUCUAAUUCGACGCUUUCGUUGCAGAAUUCCAACAACUAGUAUCGGAUCAACAAUAAUCGGUAUCAAAAUAGGUUGCAGAUUCUCAAAAUCUGGUACCAACGUGAGUACCAGAUUCCCAAUAAUUGAUAUUAUGUUGUACUCACAGCAAUCUAUCGGAGAAAGAGCCUAACUAGGAAUUUGCUUAGCUAGAUUUCAUGCAUAGGCUUCAUUCCAGUUUAUGUGAAUCAAAGUGCAAAAUAUAUGAAUGUAAGGGAGUAAUUACGAAGGUGAGAACAAUGAAAUAAUCUGAUAGAUGAAUGGUUUAUUAUAAGGAGAAUGGCUUAAUUACACUAUAGUACAUUAUAUAUUAAGUUUUUUUCACUUACUACAUUGUACUAUUUUAUUUUAUUUUUCUUCAAAGGCAUCACUUAGUUAUUCUUUUUCUUCGAUCCCCACACUUUAACCAAUAAAUCUAUAAUUUUAUAUGAAAACUGAUAAAAAGUACCGAUGAAAAUUUGCUGGGUAUAUAUUCAACUUAUUUUAAUAUGAAAACUAAUAAAAUACAUAAAAAAGACCAAAAAAUAAAAGUAAUUUGAUAGAAAUUUUAAUGAGUAGUUUUUUUUUUUUUUUUUACUAUUUAACCAAAUUUUCUUAAAAAAAUGUUAGUUAUUAUAUAAACCAAUAGAUAUGUUAAUAAUAUGUAGAAAAUGACAAAAAAAAGUAAUUUUGUAAUAUCCAUUGAAAAGAAAAUAGUACAAGACAGAAAUAUUGAUAAAAUACAAUAAUAUAAUAGUGUAUUUGAAAUAAAAAAGUAUAAUAUAGCAAAUAAAAAUGAUACGAAAGUAUAGUGCAAUAGCGUAUAUUUAAAGCCUAUAAGUGACAAUUAAAUAAGAAAAGCUCUUUUGUUUGAGUUUCGAGUAUAUGAAGUGGACAUAACAUUGCUCGUAGUAAAUCACCGCAAAUAUACAAUAUAUAAAUUGAGCACGCAUCUAACCAUUAGAUCAAUCUGUUUGGUAACGGUGAAAAUUGGCUCAUUUCAUGUGAAAUCGCUUCAAAAUUCGCGCGGAAAACAUUCCACUUCGAACUACAGCGAUUUUGCAAUUUCGUCCCCGUGAGAACAAAUCUACUGAACAUGGUUCGCCACAUUGGCAGUGAGCCAUUUAAGUUUUUUUUUUAAUUAUUUUUUUAAGAAAAAUACGGUCGGCAUUUUAUUGAAGUGGAGUUUUGUAACGUCCCAAUAAUUCCACAUUGGAUGGGAUAGAUCAGUUUAUAUGAAGUCUACACGCUAGUAAUAAUAACCCGACUUAAGCAUUUUGGACAGGUGGUUUGGGCCCAACGAGUUAUUGUUGCUAGCGGGUCGGGUCAUUACAAAUGGUAUCAGAGACAAAUACCAGCCGGAAGUUAUUGUUGCUAGCGGGUCGGGUCAUUACAAAUGGUAUCAGAGACAAAUACCAGCCGGAAGUGUGAGAGCUAAGUGGUAUGCGGGAUAAAGUGCUACACCAACGGGCUUAGUGGGAGCCACCUCUAGAAUCUCAUAUCGCCUGUUAAUCUGGUCCUGCUCUGUCUGUCUGUGAUUUGGUUUGGACCCGACGAGGACGUCAGGGUCUAAACAGAGGGAGUUUGUAACGCCCCAAUAAUCCCACAUUGGAUGGGAUACUGAUUUUGAUCAGUUUAUAUGAGGCCUAUACGCUAAUAAUAAUAACCCGACUUAAGCAUUUUGGGCCGGUGGUUUGGCCCAACGAGUUAUUGUUGCUAGGGUUAUUAUUACUAGCGUGUAGGCCUCAUAUAAACUGAUCGAAAUCAGUAUCCCAUCCAAUGUGGGAUUAUUGGGGCGUUACAAACUCUCCCUGUUUAGGGCUAAACUCUUAAUCCCGCUUAAGCAUUUUGGGCCGGUGGUUUGGCCCAACGAGUUAUUGUUGCUAAUGGGUCGGGUCGUUGCAAAUGGUAUCAGAGCCGAAUACCAGCCGGAAGUGUGAGAACUAAGUGCUAUGCGGGACAAAGUGCUACACCAACGGGUUUGGUGGGAGCCACCUCUUAAACCCGUAGGAGCCACCUCUAGAAUCUCACAUCGUCUGGUAAUGGUCCUGCUCUAUCUGUCUGUGAUCUGGUUUGGAUCCGACGAGGACGUCAGGAUCUAAACAGAGGGAGUUUGUAACGCCCCAAUAAUCCCACAUUGGAUGGGAUACUGAUUUCGAUCAGUUUAUAUGAGGUCUACACGCUAGUAAUAAUAACCCGGCUUAAGCAUUUUGGGCAGGUGGUUUGGGCCCAACGAGUUAUUGUUGUUAGCGGGUCGGGUCAUUACAAAUGGUAUCAGAGACGAAUACCAGCCGGAAGUGUGAGAGCUAAGUGCUAUGCGGGAUAAAGUGCUACACCAACGGGUUUGGUGGGAGCCACCUCUAGAAUCUCACAUCGCCUGGUAAUUUGGUCCUGGUCUAUCUGUCUGGGAUUUGGUUUGGACCCGACGAGGACGUCAGGGUCUAAACAGGGGGAGUUUGUAACGCUCCAAUAAUCCCACAUUGGAUGGGAUACUGAUUUCGAUCAGUUUAUAUGAGGCCUACACGCUAGUAAUAAUAACCCGGCUUAAGCAUUUUGGGCAGGUGGUUUUGGGCCCAACGAGUUAUUGUUGCUAGCGGUUCGGGUCAUUACAAAUGGUAUCAGAGAUGAAUACCAGCCGGAAGUAUGAGAGUUAAGUGCUAUGCGGGAUAAAGUGCUACACCAAUAGGUUUGGUGGGAGCCACCUCUAGAAUCUCACAUCGCCUGGUAAUCUGGUCCUGAUCUGUCUGUCUGUGAUUUGGUUUGGACCCGACGAGGACGUCAGGGUCUAAACAGGGGGAGUUUGUAACGCCCCAAUAAUCCCACAUUGGAUGGGAUACUGAUUUCGAUCAGUUUAUAUGAGACCUACACGCUAGUAAUAAUAACCCGGUUUAAGCAUUUUGGGCCGGUGGUUUGGCCCAACGAGUUAUUGUUGCUAACGGUCAACAGUGUACAGUUUUUGUAAUGUCUUAUAAUAGUCUUGCAUUGGAUAGGACAAAAAUUUUAAUUGGAGUAUAAGCGAUCUCACACCUUAUUAAUAAUAACUGUGUAAGUAUUUUGGGCCGAUGGUGCAAGCCCAACAAGUUAUUAUUGCUAGCUGAUCGGAUCGUUAUAAUUAGUAUCAGAGACGAAUACCGGCUGAAAGUAUGAGAGCUAAGUGCUAUGCACGAUAAAGUGCUAUAUUAACGAUUUGAUAGGAGUCACCUCUAAAAUCUCGCGUAGCCUAAUAAUUCUGAUCUGCAUGCCUGUGAUCUGGAUUUGGACCUGACAAUUCUGGUCUAUCUCACAUUACCUGGUAAGACUGAUCUACAUGCCUGCGAUCUGGAUUUGGAUUUGGCAAUUCUGGUCUAUAUGUCUGUCUAAACAGGAAGAGUUAGUAAUAUUCCGAUAGUCCCACACCAAAUGAAAAAAUAAUUUCGAUUGAAUAAUAAGAAAUCUCGCACUCUAAUAAUAAUAAUUAUGAGCAAAAAUUUGAUAUAUUUCGAAACAAAAUAAAAAAAAAAAUUAAUAAGAAAAAGAGAGACUGUAUUGUCUCCAAACCUAACAAAAAAAAAAGAAUGAAAAGAUAUAAAGGUAGAUCUCCAGAUCUAAGCAACUAAGUUAUCGAAAAGCAAUCACCAAACACAAACAUUCUAGUUGACGAAACUUAAAAUUGUAGAAGCCCCCAAAAAUGAAAAAAAUGACUAUGAAAAAAAGUUUGGAACAAAAGCAAUCACCAAACAAAAUAUUUUGCAAUAAAUUCCCAUUUUAUUAUGCUACUACUAGUAUCAUCUUAUUUGAAUCUGUCGCACAUUAUUACUAGAAUACAUACGAUAUCUAAAAAAGUGCUCGACAGAAAACAACAGAUAGAUAAUGAAUAUGAAUGAAACGAGAGAGUGAUUAGAGAGUCCAUUCAGUUUUAUGAUUGUAGAAACAAAAUAGUAAAUAAUACAAUUCAAAACACACACAAAAAAUAUUUAUUAUAAAAAGAAGAGAGGGAAAAGAGUAAGAUAACAUUUCUCCGUCCCUAGCGCAAGUGGCAAAGGAUUUGGUGGUUGGUAUUCGAGGUUUCAAGUUCGAAUCAUAGUUGAUUCAUAUUUCUAGCUAAGUUUAUUUCUAAAAGAAAUAAACAAAACUGGUAGUAUGCUGCCUAUCUCGCAAAAAAAAAAAAAAAGAAAAAAGUUUCUUCGUCCCAUCAUUUUAACAAGUGAAGGUACCCGCGCGAUGCGGCGGAUUGAUUUCAUAGAAGUAGAUGAUCAAUUUUCAUAUAUAGAAGCGGUAAAUCGAAAAGUAGUCGAUAGUAGCAGAAAUGAACAAAUGAGAAAAUAUAAACAAUUAGCAAUAAUUGGUGGUACACAAAUAUACCAACAGUUAAGAACCAAUAGUCAGCAGUAAUAAUGAACAAAGCAGCGCAUUAGCAGUAAACAAAAACAUAUAGUUGAGGAGAAGUAAACAAUGGAGCAAUUGAAGAACCCCCAAACCAGAUCUAAAACAUCAAAACCAAUCUAGUAACUUUACAUUAGGUAGAAAGUGAUGCAUAUCUGGAAGCUUGAGUGUUCUUGUUACCCAGUCAUCACUUCGAUCAACGGCAUUGCCUGCGCCAAGAUUGUCGUCCUCCACCUCUACCACCACCACGCCUGUGCCGCUGGCUCAUCCACCUCGUCUUCCUCCACCGUACGAUCCAACCCCUAUUGCUUCGGACCCUAUGCCCUCGCGCGUCACACUCGCCGCACCCACCAAAGGUUCCUCACUGAUGGCGGGGAGGAUGGGUCUAGCAACUCCUUUUUCGACGACGGCAAUAGCAACGAUAGCCCCUUCGGUAGCAGCGGGGCGGCGGAGGGUGCGGCUCUAGCGACGGCGGAGUGGGCAUGUAGGAGCGUGUCAAAUCUAAAGAGAGAGAGAGAGAGAGAGAGAGAAAAGAUGGAAGACGACGUAAAAUUGCAUAGUAAAGAAAUUAAAAAUAAGAAGAAUGCGAACACAUUAAUUAUAAAAUAACUGAUAGGAAUGUGAAAAGGUGGCAACACUUCAUAGUAACAAAAUAAAACUUUUGAAAGUGAAAUCUAUUCUAAUAUAUAAUUUAAAUAAGAAUAUGAAAAGAUGGAUCAAAAUAAAUUCGUAUACAUUUGAAGGUAUUGACACUAUCAUUAUUUUAUUUAAUUGAAUCCACAAAUAUAAAAAGAAUCAAAGCUAUUUUGUAAAAGAAUUUCUCUUUUUUAUAGUAUGAAUUUUAUAUUCACAAUUCACUCUUGAUGUGUUAAAAAUAAAAUUAUAUUGUUCAUAUAGGAUUGUGGAUUUUAAUUAUAUUUUUUAAAACUUUUUUAAAAAACCAAAAAUGUCUUUUGCAAUGUUCAUGUCAGUUACCCUGUACUUAAUGCACAAUUAAUAUGUUUCUCAAUAGUAUUAAUUAAGUUAUUUAAUAAAAUCUAAGAUUCACCAGUUUUAUACAUUCUCUUAACUUUUUAUUAGCAUUAGUCAUUAGCAUUAAUCUAUUCUCCCAAAAUAAGAAGGGUAUGCCAUAUCAGCUCAUGUUAUUGAGCUUUCGUAUAGUUUUAUAGAUUAGUAAAUUAUUAUAGAAUUUGUGAUGACGUGGUGGACCCCGUCCACGCAACAUUUUCUUGGCCGUAGUCCUUUACAACUUUUCGUAACGUUUUUCUUAUUUUAUUUUUUUUCAUUCUAAUACGAGUACUUCAUUGGCUUCUAAAAUGGGUCCAACCGUUUAAAUGAGAGAGAUUUUGUUGUACCAAUUAUUCCAUAUUAAAUAAAUAAUAGUAUUUAAUUAAUAUUUAUUUUAUAAGUUAUAAAUAUAAUUUUUUGAUAUUAUUUUUAUAUAAAAUUAUUAUAUUAUUCUUAAGUAGAUUUUUUAUCGUUUUUUAAGACUUAGACUUCGUUUGGAAUUGCAGGAAGAUUGUGUUACGUGCGUUGAGAAACGACGAUGGGAAAAUAUCACAUUUGUUUCUGUAGUAUUACGUUCCGCAUAUCGUGAUGAGUUGAUUACAAUAUAUUUUCUGCGAUCCCACCGAAGAACGCAGAAAUAUAUCCCUAUAUAUUUUUUCUCAACUCCAUUCUAUCUAAUAACGUUAGAUAAUCUCAAUAUCAAACUAAGCCUUAAUUUGGUCGGAAAAAUCUACUGAACGCCACAUUGGCAGUGAGCCAUUUAAGUUAUCUUUUUAUUAAUUAUUUUUUUAAGAAAAAUACGAUCGGCAUUUUAGUGAAGUGGAGUUUGAUUACAACAGUGUACAGUUUUUGUAAUGUCUUAAUAGUCUCGCAUUGGAUAGGACAAUAAUUUUAAUUGGAGUAUAAGAGAUCUCACACCUUAUUAAUAAUAACUGUGUAAGUAUUUUGGGCCGAUGAUGCAGGCCCAACGAGUUAUUAUUGUUAGCUGAUCGGAUCGUUAUAAUUAGUAUCAGAGACGAAUAUCGGCUGAAAGUGUGAGAGCUAAGUGCUAUGCACGAUAAAAUACUACACUAAUGAUUUGAUAGGAAUCACCUCUAAACUCUUGCGUAGCCUAAUAAUUCUGAUCUGCAUGUCUGUGAUCUGGAUUUGGACCUGACAAUUCUUGGUCUAUCUCAUAUCGCUUGGUAAGUCUGAUUUACAUGCCUGCGAUCUAGAUUUGGAUUUGGUCAUUCUGGUCUAUAUGUCUGUCUAAACAGAGAGAGUUAGUAAUAUUUCGAUAGUCUCACACCAGAUGAAAAAAUAAUUUCGAUUGAAUAAUAAGAAAUCUCGCACUCUAAUAAUAAUAAUUAUGAGCAAAAAUUUGAUAUAUUUCGAAACAAAAAAAAAAUUAAAAAUUAAUAAGAAAAAGAGAGACUGUAUUGUCUCCAAGCCUAACAUAAAAAAGAAUGAAAAGAUAUAAAGAUAGAUCUCCAGAUCUAAGCAACUAAGUUAACCAAAAGCAAUCACCAAACACAACAUUCUAGUUGACGAAACUUAAAAUUGUAGAAGCCCACAAAAAUGAAAAAAAUGACUACGAAAAAAAGUUUGGAACAAAAGCAAUCACCAAGCAAAAUAUUUUGCAAUAAAUUCCCAUUUUAUUAUGCUACUACCAGCAUCAUCUUAUUUGAAUCUGUCGCACAUUAUUAUUAGAAUACGUACGGUAUCUAAAUAAGUGCUCGACAAAGAACAACAGAUAGAUAAUUAAUGUGAAUGAAACGAGAGAGCGAUUAGAGAGUCCAUUCAGUUUUAUGAUUGUAGAAACAAAAUAGUAAAUAAUACAAUUUAAAACAUACAUAAAAAAUAUUUAUUAUAAAAAGAAAAGAGGGAAAAGAGUAAGAUAACGUUUCUCCGUCCCUAGCGCAAGUGGCAAAGAACUUGGUGGUUGGUAUCCGAGGUUCUAAGUUCGAAUCAUAGUUGGUUCAUAUUUCUAGCUAAGUUUAUUUUUUAAAAAAAUAAAGAAAGCGGGUAGCAUGUUAUCUAUCUCGCAAAAAAAAAAAAAAAAAAAAAAAUUUCUUCGUCCCAUCAUUUUAAUUAGUAAAUUAUUAUGGAAUUUGUGAUGACGUGGUGGACCCCGUCCACGCAACAUUUUCUUGGCCGUAGUCCUUUACAACUUUUUGUAACGUUUUUCUUAUUUUAUUUUUUUUCAUUCUAAUACGAGUACUUCAUUGGCUUCUAAAAUGGGUCCAACCGUUUAAAUGAGAGAGCUUUCGUUGUACCAAUUAUUCCAUAUUAAAUAAAUAAUAGUAUUUAAUUAACGUUUAUUUUAUAAGUUAUAAAUAUAAUUUUUUGAUAUUAUUUUUAUAUAAAAUUAUUAUAUUAUUCAUAAGUAGAUUUUUUAUCGUUUUCGUUUGGAAUUGCGGGGAGAUUAUGUUAUGUGCGUUAAGAAAUAAAGAUGAGAAAAUAUCAUGUUUGUUUCCGUACGUAAUAUUGCGUUCCACAUAUCGUGAUAAGUCGGUUACGACAUAUUUUCUGCUAUCCCACCGAAAAACGCAGAAGCAUAUCCCUAUAUAUUUUUUCUUAACUCUAUUCUAUCUAAUAACGUUAGAUAGAUCUCAAUACCAAACUAAGUCUUAAUUUGGUAUUGAGGUAGAAUGGAAUUGAGAAAAAAGCAUAUAAUGAUAUGCUUCUGCGUUCUCCGGUGGGACCGCAUAAAAUAUAUCGUAACGGAUUCAUCACGAUAUGCGUUUUUUAUGACUAAUAAUAUUGGUUUUAUAUGAAUCUUGCAUGUAUAUGUACAUAUAUUUGUUAGAGUGCCCAUGAAUAUUAAUAGGGUUUUUUUUUGCAAAUAGCCCCCUGAGCAAUUUUUAUUUUAAAAAUAGCCCUAUCAAAAUUAAAAUUGCAAAAAUGACCCUGUCUCUGCCACGCAGGCGCCACGUCAGCGCCACGCGGGCAGGGCUGGGGCCAGAGUAUUAAGUUGAACACGGUGAAUCAUUCACCAUGUCUAAACACGGUGAAUGGUUCACCGUGUUUCUUACGUAUUUUUUGUAUAUUGAAAAAUGGAAUAAGGAGUAGAGAUAUCAAUAGGUAUGAAUAUUCGAAAUAUUAUCCGAAUCCAAACCCGAAUAAAUUAUAUAUAUAUACGUAAUUUAUUUUUGUUUAUUUAUACAAUAUAUAAAAUAUUUAAUAAUUUUUAUUCCUUAGAUCUUCAUCCAACGGUAUAGAUUUUUAAAACCCGCUGGGUUGGAUGAAGACUAAGGAAAAAAAUUAUUAAAUAUUUUAUAUAUUGUAUAAAUAAACAAAAUAAAUAUUAUAUAUAUAUAUUAUAUAUAUAAUAUAUAUAUAUAUAUAUAUAUUAUAUAUAAAAGCGUAUAGGAAUUCCGACAAUGACAGACGGAAUCCAAAAAGGAAUAAAAUAAUAUUCCCUACGAAUGAUUAUGAUUAAUUUUAAAAAAUAUCUCAAAUAAACAUUAACGGUUAUGAUCAAUCUAUUAAAUAUAAAAUAAUAUUUCCUAUAAAUGAUUUAACUAAUUUGUUAAAAUAUGUUAAAUAAAAACGAACGGUUAUGAUCAAUCUAUUAAAUUUCUACUACAUAUAAAAAUCUGUUCCCUAUAAUGGUUAAUGAUCAAUUUGUUAAAAUAUCUCAAAUUAAAACAAACGGUUAUGAUCAAUUUGUAAAAAAUAGCAUUUCUCAUUAAUCUUUUUACAUUAAAAUAAAAUUUGAGUUUAAAUUAUAAAUUAAAUUUUAAUUUUGAUAUUCAAAUUUGGAAUUAAUAAUUAUUUUUUAUUAAGCAGUGGAUCAAAAUUAAUUUUAAAUAUAAAUGUGAAUUAAAUUUUGAUGCUUUAGUUUAAAACACUAUUUAAAUUUGAUUCAUCAAAAAUAAAAAAGUAUAUAAAAAAUGUUCGAUGUAUAUAAUAAAAGAACACGAUAGGAUAUUAUAAAUAUUUUCUAAUAAAAUAUAACACAUUAAUUUAUAAUUAAUUUUUAUUGUAAAAACUUGGAUAUAUAUAAUGUAACAAAUUUAUAUUGAUUUGAAAUAAAUUAUAAUAAUUGUUACGUGCAUUUGCACGUACAUCUCAAUUAGUAUAUAUAUAUAUAUAUAUAUAUAUAUAUAUAUAUAAUAUAGUACUAUAAAAUAUUUCGGAUAUCCAUACCUGUUAACAUCCAUAUUUCUUAUUCCACUUUUCAAUAUACAAAAAAUACGCAACAAAAAAUACGUACUAAAAACCGUGAACCAUUUACCGUGUUUGAACACGGUGAAUGGUUCACCGUGUUCAACUUAACACAUAGGCCCAGCCCUGCCCGCGUGGCGCUGACGUGGCGCCUGCGUGGCAGGCCCAGGACCAUUAAAUUUUGACAGGACUAUUUUUAAAAUAAAUAUUUGUCAGGGAUCUAAAUGUAAAAAAAACCCAUAUUAAUAUGUUAGCAUACAUAUGUAUGCAUAAAUUAAUAAAAACUCUCUAUAUUAUGUAUAGUAUUAACAAUAAUAUAAAAUUAUAAAGAAUUGCAGUCCCACCAACGUACAGAUCUUACUGAGUAUUCAGCCAAUUAUAUUUAUUAUUUUGAAAAAAAAAUAUGAUAAAAAAUAUUUUUUAAAAAAUAAUGAUAAAAUGAGUGAACUCAAUGGAAGCAAUUUGAUUAGUUGGUAUGGUUGGAGAGAAAGUUUACAAUAUAGCAACUGCAUCACAUUAUCCCUAUCCAACCGAUUUAUUUUUUAUUUAGAGGAAAAAAUAUAGUAAAGUUUUUUUAAAAAAAAAUUUUGAUGAAAUAAAUAAAUUUUAGAAAACUACUGUGGUUGAUUAAAAGUGUGGAGUCAAUUAUGUGACUGUUAUAUUUUAGAUUUUUUUUUUUUCUGGGUAUUGGUGCUUGCGUACUAUGAAUUGCCAAUUUACAGAGAAACCCAAACAUUUCGCCUUUUGAGGCGACCCUUACAGUGACCUCCUUUUGUUUGUCAUUUUCUUGAUCCAGGAAUCCACAGGAUAAAAGCAGAGACCAAAAGUGACACAAACAAGGGGUUAGUUAAAAAAAAAGAAAAAUUUCAAAUAUCAUCCGUUUAGUUUCGCACUUUAUCACUUUAAUACCAUGUGAAUAUAUGAUUUAAAAUAUCAUAUGAUUUCACACUUUCUCACUUUAGUACUCUGUGCUUUAAAGUGCAUUAAUUUAAUACUCUGUGAUUUCAUUUUUUUCUUUUCGUCUGCUUAUCUGUUAAUAUUUUUUUAAAUUAUAUACAAAAAAUUUCAGAUAUCUUACCUUGAUUUAUCAAAUAUUCACUUUAGUACCCUUUAGUUUUAACUUUGUAACCGUUUUUUUUCUCUGUUAAUAUUUCGUUAAAUUAUAUACAAAAAACUUCAAAUAUCAUAUCUAAGUUUAUUGAAUAUUCACUUUAGUAUCCUUUAGUUUUAACUUUGUCACUGAUUUAACGAAAAAAAUUAGUAAAAUGGAUAAUAAAAAGAGAAAAAUGAGAUCACAAGGUACUAACUUGAUACAGUUUAAACCACAGGGUACUAAAGUGAGAAAGUGGGAAACCGCAGGGGCUAACUUGAUACACUUUAAACCAUAUGGUACUAAAAUGAGAAAGUGUGAAACCACUGGAAGAGUAUUUGAAGUUUACCAAAAAAAAAGAUGGAAAAAAAUUUACGGUAUCACACUUGCAUCAUAUUAUUAAUAAUAAAUUAAUUAUAUUUUUAUUUUUGAAAGAAAAAUAUAAUAAAAAUAAUUUUCUAUUAAUUAUGAUCGAACGGGCGAAUUCAAAAGGGACAAUCUUAUUGAUUUAGAAUGCCACGUUAGCAAUAUAAUCGGCGGAUUCUAAAUCUUUAAAAACUGUAUCUUAUAUUAGAAAUACGUACUUUGAAUUUCCCAUCCGAUGAUACUCUCAUAUACUAUUAAUAUAUUAAUAUGAUCAGAAUUUAGACUAUAUAGGAUAUGAUAAUGGUGUUUAAAAUUUAAUUAAUAAUAGCAUUUUGGAUUCGUUAAUUAAUAUUUAAAGUAUAAUAAUGAUAUUGUUAUGUUAUCAGUAGGGGUUGCAAUCCGGCUCGCUGUUCGGGAGCCAGCUCGUGUUCGGCUCAAAAUGAGCUCGAGAUCCGAACGUUCCGUUUAGUAACGAGCAGAAUUUUUCGGCUCGUUUAUUAAACGAGCCGAACACGAGCUGGAGUCAGCUCGCUCAUGUUCGCUCGAUAAUGAGCUCGAAUACAUAUAUUUUAUAUUUAUAAUAAUUUAUUUAAUUUAUAUUAUAUAUAAUAAAUAAAAAUAUUAUAUAUAUUAUAUUUUAUUAUUUAAUUUUUAGUAAAAUAAAAAAUAAAGCGAGUUCAAUUAUAAAAAAACUCAUUUAUAUAUAAAGUUUCAAAUAUUAGAUCAAAGUCUAAUGAAUAAAAUUUUAUAAAUUUAUUUUUCUUAUAUAUAUUUAAUCUAAUUCUUUUAACUUAUUAUUCGCUGGCCAGCUCAUGUUCGGCUCGUUUAUUAACGAGCCGAACACGAGCUGAAUUUUUUGGCUCGAAAUUUUAAAGAGCCAGAGCCGAACAAGAGCCGAUCCUAGCUCGCUCGUAUUUGGCUCGUUUACACCCCUAGUCAUCAGCAGCAUUGUAGGGUACAUUAUAGGAUAUCAUCUGUAGCAGCACUCAUCUUAUGUACCAACUUCCUGGAAAAAGCAGAUCCCUUUGUUUGUGACUUUAUAUUCAUGUACAUGUGUACCUGUGUCAACUUCCUGAAAAGUCAUGUAGCAAGCAUUUCAUGUGGCUUGUUGUUGUCUGAGUAGUUUCUGUAAAAGGUCACUGAAGAAAGUGCUCAUGAAAAAAGCUGAGUUCCAUGUUUGCAUCAUGAAGCUUCUUGCAUGCCUUUGAGGAAAAUUAUAUAUUUCUCUAAUUGAGUGAAAUUGUAAUUACAAAGUUUUUUUGUGACUUAAUUCAACAUAUAAUGUUCUUACUCUAAUUUUUUAUUUUUUGCAAUCAGAUCAUCUGCUGAUUAAAAUUAAUUCUAUUAAUUAUGAUAGAAAUUGACAUGUUAGCACUGAAUAUUACAACAUUAAUAUGGCAAACAUAAAAAUUAUUAUUUUAAUGUAAAAUUUUUAUGUUGCCUCUUGCUAGAUUUUAUACUGUCUUAUACGGUAAAAAUAAGAUUAGUUUAAAAAUAUAUUCUAUGUUGUAUUACUAUUACAAAUAAGAUUUUUUUCCAUAAUUAAACCUUACUCCCACUAAUAUCAUUUGAAGGUGUCUUCAUAGUGUGAUUUUCUGUGAAGGAAGUUUUAUUCCUUGGAGGGUGAAAUAUAUAUUUUUUACUUUUAUCUCAAAAAAUAUAAUUUUUAUCUCAAACAGUACAACUUUGUUAUUUUUUCAUUCUUCUCUACUUUUUGAUCUUUUCUGUAGCAGCCACGACAGAUGAUGAUGGUCUUCACAAGAGAAUAUAUAUAUAUAUAUAUAUAUAUAUAUAUAUAUAUAUAUAUAUAUAUAUAUGUAUAGAGAGAGAGAGAGAGAGAGAGAGAGAGAGAGAGAGAGAGAGAGUUGCCAAAACAUAGCACUCUUUAGGCUGCAGUGAUUGGCAUAAAGGCAAUCAAUAUGCCUUGAAGCUAAAAACUUAACACAAUCCGGCAUUCAUAACAAACCAAGAUGUUGUAGAUGAAAGUUUAGUUUUAGAAAAUAGCUUGGAGCAAAACUNAAAACAGGGGAGAAAGAGGAGGGUGAAAGAGAAAGAAGAGGAGGAGGUGAUAAGGGUGGUACGAGGGGGAAGAAUAGAGCGAGUAUAGAAGCGGAUGCACCUGAGCCUAUACUGUGUCUAACGUCUCUAUUCUGACGUUGUCUCGCAUACUAACACUUGCCAUUUCUAUUACUCAAAAAAAAGCGGAGGGGGAGAGAAACGAAUCGUCAAUUUUACUAAAAAUUUAUUUGGGGGGUGGUUGUGGGGGAUUUUAUUACAGUUUUAGAAAGAGCAACGAAAAGGAAAGGAGGUUUCGCUCGUCCGUAGCAGCGUCGGUAUCUGCGUCGGCGCAGAAACCGAGGAGGGGCGACGGAUAAAAGCAUGGAACUUGCCGAGACGACAGUCUGCGGAGAUUUUGGGACGGUAGCAUACCGUGCUUGGAAUGUACCCCGUGAUACAGACUGGACGCAUGCUGUUCCUGGGUUGCACACGGAGCAUUAUAAUUUUUUAAUAAGAAUAAUUAUCCAUAAAUCUUUUAAAAUUUUAAAAAUAUCUAAUUUUAUUUUUGAUAUAUUUCUCAUAUAUUUCUUUUUUUCUGUAUUAAAACUUGAGUUAAAUAUCUCUUUUGUUUUUAACUUAAGAGCAAGUAAGAAAAAUUUGGUAAUAAUUGAUAGAAGAGUAUAUUUAAAGAGAUCAAAAAUUAAAAUAUUUUUUAUUCCUAAUUUAAGGACAAAUAAAAAAAAAUUGAUAAUGAUGGGAGGCUAUAUUUGAAAAGGUAAAAGGUGAUAUGUUUCUAUUUAUCAUAACUCAUGUCACAUUUGCGUCUAAAAGUGGAUGUAUGACUAGCAUUUAUCGUUUUAAAAUGGCCAAAUUGCAUGAUUGGCCCUCAUACACUAUUUUAUUAUAAUUUAUGAAUUUAUAAAUAUUUUGUUGGCUUAAAAGAGGCCAACAUUCUGUCCUGUGACGAAAGAUCAUGUUGGAUCGAGUCACAUUUGAAAUGACAGGAGAUCGGGUUGGAUCGAGCCAUGUUCGAAGUGACGUGAGGCUGGCUAGACUGAGUCACAAUCGAGGCCAGCCGUUGUAUUCUAAAAACUUAAGCUGAUAGAUAAUGGUGGGCUCGAGACUUUUUGUAGGCUCCAUGAUAUGAACUUGAAUUAAAUGGGAAGAAACUAAUAAUGCUAGGAGCCAGAUGUGAUUUGAAUUUAAAACUUCCUAUUUUGAUACCAUAUUAAAAAAUACGAAACAAUCGUUGCACUCUAAAAGCUCAAGCUGAUAUAAAAUGAUAUUUAAAUAUUUUUAUAUUUAACACUAUAUAUCUUUUGCUAGUUAUUUUCAAAUAAAAUUAUUUUUCAAAGAAAAUAUAUUAUCUCCUAGUUAAUAUAUUUUAUCCUAUUAAAUUAUAGUCACCAUGACUUUUAAGGAACAAAAAUUAAACUAUUUCUGCCUAUCACAUAAAAAUUUCCGUACAAAUUAAGAUAGUAUUAAAUAUCGUAUUCUAACAUCCAAAUAAGAACUUUUUAAUGCUUAAGUAAAAUAGCAAUGUUUCUGUACCCUAUCCAUCCAAAGACUACUUAAUUACUCUCCUUAAAAAAUAAAAAAAUAUUCACAAAGAAUACAGUAUGACAAAAUGAUCAAAUUAUCCUUAUCUUUUUCAUCUCCUCCUUCCCAAUAUUGCUCAUUCCGGCGGCGGAGGAGGUCGAGAGAGUGUAUCUGGACAUGGACAGAGAGAUGGGCGAGGCGGCGGCGAAGGGCGAGGGGGCGUCCAAGAACAUGUGUGUGGGUACGAAUGAGAAUUUUACGAUAUUUUGGGUAUAAAAAAUAAUAUAUAAAUAGAACUCCAACAAAAUCACCGGGGGCCGAAAUGAACAUUUUUUAUUUUUUAAAAAGGCAUAGUGUAGGUUUUCGAAUGACAAGAAAACAAAGUAAAAAAACGAGUAUUGACAUAGAAUUUUUCUGUAAUUUAGUGUAUUUUCAAUUUAUUUAAAAAGUUAUAGCAUUUAGUAGAUGAAAAAUAUAACCAAACGUCUAAAAUAAAUUAACAUAUUUUAUUUUCUAGUUAAUAUUUUAGAAUAAGAUAAGUCAGUUCGUAGGUAAAAUAUAUUAUACUAUCAAAUCAUAAAUGACAAGAUUUUUUAAAAAUUAAAUUUUUUCUUUUCCUUCCAAUCAUAUAAAAAAAAUUUUAUACUAAAUAAAUUAUUCUUAUUUUUUUUAUUUCUAGGUCAAAUAAGAUAUUAAUAAAAAAAAACGAUUGACUAAUUCAAGCGCAUUGCAUAAAUUUUUAUUCAAGAGGUCACCUGUCACCUCUCAGGUGAGUAGUUAAUUAGUUUAUCAUCAUCAUUAUCCAUACAAAGGUUCAUUAAAAAAAAUUAACAAGUGUGUUUGUAAAGAAAAAUAAGAUCCUAAAUGACCCCAUAAUACACUAUUUUAACUCCUACCCCCCCAACGCCAUUACUUUAACAAAGCAAAUUUUCUACAUAGUUUAUUCAGCUGAUAAUUUUAAAUUUUAACAUAAUUACUUGGCACUGUCCAGUAUAGAAGGCAAUCCAGCGACGAGAUCAAUCCCGUGCAUAGCAAAUCCUACCCCGUGCAUAGCGAAUCCUGCGCACAGGGUUAAUCACCACCACUUAAUCACUACGGACACACGCACGUAUCGCACACUGGACCAAGUUCGAAGCCUAGUUGAUUCAUAUUUCUGACUAAGUUUAUUUUUAAAUGAAAUAAACGAAGCGAGUAGCGUGCUAUCUAUCUCUCAAAAAAAUAAAAAAAAUGAUAAUAAUUAGUGCAUUAAAAUCAAAAUCAACUUUACUAUAUUUGAUCUAUAGCAUUUAAAUUCUUGCGGCAUUGCUGAACUGCACACGCAUGAGCCGAUAAAGAAAGAAAAACUCCACCAUUAUACCGGAGCACAUUUAAAGAGAACAUAGAAAGAGAGCACUACAUGUAGGGGUGUCAACGAGCCAAACACGAGCGAGCGGAGGCUGGCUCGUGCGUGUUCGGUUCAUUUAUGAAAUGAAUCGAACAUGAGCCAACUCGUUAAAGUAUCGAGCCGAAAAAUUCAGCUUGUGUCCGACUCGUUUAUUACGAGCCGAACACAAGUCAAAUACGAGCUGGCUCAUUAAUAACAAAUUAUAAGAAUUAUGAAGAAUACUUAUAAAAAAUAAAUUUUUGAGAUCUUACCUAUUUAACUUUGAUCUAAUAGUUGAAACUUUACAUAUAAAUGACUUUUUUAUAAUUGAGUUUGGCUUUAUAUUUAGGUAAAGCUAAAAACCAAUUAUUUAUUUAUGUAUAUAUAAAUAUAAAAUACAUGUAUUCGAGCUGUUAUUGAGCCGAAUACGAGCGAACAAACCCCUGCUCGUGUUCGGCUCGUUUAUCAAACGAGCGAUUCGAUCUCGAACUCUUUUCGAGCCGAAUACAAGCUGGCUCGCAAAUAGUGGGCUGAAUUACUAUCUCUAACUACAUGUGAAACCUAUAAUAGUACACUUUUUAAAACCAGUUACCUAAAUAACAUGUAGUUUCAGAAAUCAAUAAUAAAAAAAAUUAUCAAAUUUUACAAAAAAAGCUUAUUCCAAUUAAGUUUAUAACUUUUCAUAGACAGAUCUUUUAAAUUGGCCUAAUUAAACUGCACUACACUAUAUUUUUAUAUAUAUUUUUUUUUUAUUUUCUAUAUUGUACUAACUUUUUUUUAGACACACUACUUAACUAUCCUUUUUUUUUUUUCCCGAAUCCUAUGCUAUAAGAAAUAAAUUUUAUAAUUAUAAAUAAAAGCAACUAAAGAAAUACUGAUUAAAAGUGGCAAAAUGUAUAUUCAGCACAUUUUGACAAAAAAAUAACAAAAUACAUAAAACUACCAAAAAAUAGUUAAAAAUAACUUAAUGAAAAUUUUUAAUGGGUCUAUUAUGAAAAUUCACUUUUUAUUUUUCUAUUAUGUAAUCAGUGCCUUUUAGUAAAAUUGCUAGAUUUUGCUUAAAACAUUAGAUUUAUCCUAAUAUAUAUAUGUAUUAAUUGAAAUGUAGAAAUCGGCAAGAAAAAAAUAGUUUCUAAACUAUUUGUGAGAAAAGAAAAAUAAUAUAAGAUAGAAAAAAAAAUAAAUCUAAAAUACAGUAUAGAAAUUGAUAAAAUAUAAUAAUAUAAUAAUUUCUUUGAAAAAAAUUUAUUACAAUAUAUAAAAUAAAAAAAAAUUAUAAAUUAUAGUAUAGUAAAAUAUAAUUAAGUCUUUUAAAUAUACUAGAAAAAUUAGGAGUCAAAUUCUAAUUUUAAAUGGUGCAGUAUAUUGUGGAGUAAAUGUAAUAAUUUAACCCCCCAUCUACGGUCCCCGCUGACUAUUAAAAAAAAAAAAAAAAAAAAAAAAAAAGGAACAGAGAUUUUUUGUUUAACUUUUUUAGACACCCUCUAAUAAUUCAAUGUUUGGGAUUCGCAAUAAAAUACUUUAUGUGCAAUAAAAUAUUUAAUUUGUUAUAGUAUGUAAUCACAACGAGCCUGUUUAUGAUCUAACUGAGAAAUAAAAAUAUUUUUUUAUCCAUUAAUAUUAAAUGAGCCUCGACACCACCAAAAGGAAGCUUAGUUUGAAAGCUCGUCGUUCAUUGGAUAUGUGCCCGCACAAGCUUCUUAAGAAGCUCUAUGUUUUAUCAGAUAAAUAAAUUAUACUACUCACUAAAGUGGACUUUUGUUUUCAAAAUAAUCCUAUAAAAUUUUUUAAUUGGAUAAAAAAUUCUAUAAAAAAAUAAUUAGCAAACUAAUCCUUCUUUCGUCGUAUAGGAGUCAUGGCGAAACUUUCUCUUACCACCUUCACUUCAUAAAGGUGAUAAACGAUUCAUUACCCUUUUAAUUUUUCAAAAAAAGGGUAAAUAAUUUAAUAUCUUUUUUUUAUUGCUUUUUUUUAUUUUUUAUAUAAUCCUAACCAUCACAAACAAUCUUAACAAAAAAAAAAAAAAAUCUAAUAAUUUAUUCAUAUAAUUGCAAAAGACGGUGAAUUAUUUACCGCCUUCAAAGAAAGAUUUUAUCAUGCCUUCUAUAUGUCCUUGUCAUUAGGAUCUGUUAAAAAAAUUUAGUUAACCAUAUGUUAAAUACUUAAUCCUGAUUAGUUUUGACAUUUUUAUCCGUUUUAUAUUAUACUGUUAUGGCUUUUGGAGGAACAUAUUGUAAUGGCAAGAUUAAAAAUAUCAACAGUUAUCUAAAGGCAACAAAAUAAAGUAAUAUAUUUGAAAAUAUUAAAAUUUUUGUAGAAAUAAUAUCUGAAAGUUGAAUUUUGUAAGUAUAUAUUUAUCAUUCAUUAAUUAUUGUAGGGAAAUCCUAAUUUUUUUUUUUAGUAAGUAGGAUCAUCUACCGAAUUGUACUAUUUUCUAAUAAGAUUAUUUGAAAGAAAUAGUGGAGUAGGGCUAGAAUAUUUUUAUAAGUAUCACCCAAGUGAUACUUGUGUGUUUUUAGCCAUUGGAUCUACUUUUUGAUUACUAAUAGUCCUUGGAUCAAACACUAUUCCACCUACCAUCACCUACCAUCACCUACCACCAUCAUCUCAACCUCACAUCUCUCCAUCCAAGAGCUAAAAACACACAAAUAUCACUUGGGUGAUAUUUUUACAAGUAUUCUAGCUCUACUCGAAAUAGUGUCACCAAACUAUUAAAUUUUGUUCGUACCCACCUGGGGAAUCGAUAUAAAAGCUGCGAUACGGCAUAUAUGCGCGCCAGCACAAGCAAGCAUCCGCAACUUCACCCCCCUCCUGCUUGUCCUCGCGAGUCGCAUCCUCACGCCAUUUCAAAUCAUGCAACCACCGCCAACAAUAACAAUAACAACAGCAACAACAACAUAAAAAGAAAUGAAUCCGGGCCCCCGAAGCUUCGCGGAAGCUCACUUCCCCCACACACCCCCCCGCCCCCGCUCUUUAAAGCUNCCCCCCCCCUCCCCUGCUCUUUAAAGCUCUCCCCACCAUAUUCCAUAAACAACCCCAAAUCGAUCCCUCGGUCGAUCGGAUUGAGAUAUCUCGAUCGAACGCGAUGAAGCUCAUCACCCUGAAACCGCCUCAGUUUUUCAGAUCGGCGUCGAAGAGGGAGGAGAAGAAGAGGAAGAAGAAGGCGCACCUGUCGCGGUCGAACCCUAGCUCGUCGUUCGGGUCGGCGUCGGAGGAGUCGGAGGAGUCGGCGGGGUCGGGGCGCACCCCGAGGUCGGUGCUGGGGAGGGGGGUGACGCGGAGGGAGGUGGAGGCGGUGCUGCGGCGGAUGGCGCCGGAGGAGGAGGUGGCGGCGAUGAUGGAGGAGGCGGUGAGGGAGAUGCUGGUGGGCCUCGGCGACGACCGCUGCUCGCUCGACGACUGCAGGCGCAUGAUCGGCGGCGUCGACACCGACGGCGACGGCUUCGUCUGCUUUGACGACUUCGUCCGGAUGAUGACCGUCGCCGCCAAGGUGUGAUCCCGAUCUUCAUCUUCAUCUUGGCGACGACGGUUAGGAUUCGCUCCUGGUUCUCGGGGAUGGGAUGUGAUGUGAUGUUGUUUUGUGCUUUGUGGUUAAUGUGCAACGGUGUACGGAGGUGGGGUAAUUAAAUAGGGAUGUUUUUUGCUUCUUUUUUUUUUCCCUCGUUUGGGGUCCUGAUCUUGUUGCAUCUCUUUAAUUAGGACUAAUUUAGUAUCUCAGGUGCAACAAUAUUGCUCUCUUUCUCUUCUUUUUUUUUUUUAGCUGCAUGAACAGCACGUCGCGCAAAGCAAUAUAUCACGACAGUGUCUCAUUCUAAGAUUGUUCUCUGCAAUUUUUUAAAUUAAAUUAUUUUAAAUAAUUUAAUAAAUUUUUUAUUAAAUUUAUAUGUAAUUCUAUCGAAUUUAAUAAAUUCAAUUAUUUUUAGCUAAUAAAAUUACAAUAAUUAGCUGGUAAAUAAUAUAGCUACUAAAUUUAACCAAAUUUCAACUUAACAAUAAUAAUUUAAAUAAAAAAAAUUAAAAGCUAAAAAGAGUAUCAGUUAAAAAUAAUAAUGAAGUUGCAGGAACUAAUUUCAAAAUUGGCCUAUAGUUGGAAGGGGGUAGCAGCACAUUUUCACAUUUAAAAACUAAGCAACAUGUCUACAUAAUCAAUCAAUCAUAACCAAAGUAUGAAGCACAGCAGCAGAGAACUAGGUAGAUAAAACAACAGUUACAGGAGUAUGCGUCGAUAACAUUAACUAGAAAAAUUCUUAAUACUCUUCACUGUAUGAAAAGGCGGGCGAAUUGAAUAAGCUUUUCGCCAAGCAUAAGCACCACCGACCACGUAUAAUGUGGCUAUUGCCGGUUCAGCUCUAGGGCGCACGAUACUUACAGCAACGCAGGAACGAAAUUCUUCGAGAAUUUGAGAGGCAGAAGCAGCUCCUUCCAGAAGAUACAUUACAUGCUUUGAUCUUCAAUAUUUCUGAUGGCUCCAAAUCUUGAUUACUGAGCAAUUCUUCAGUCAUUAAGAGGCUUUAACCAAGUCAGAUGUCAUAGGCCUAUGACAAAUGGAAGCACUUCAGAUCACUAGUUAACCAAACAUGCAAUACAAGGGAUAAAUAGAUGAACUGUGCGUCAUUGACAACAAAUAGCUUCUGAGAAAUGAUGAGAGAAAUUGAAGAGAAAGAAACAAGAAAAUUAAGGAGCACAAAUGGCACACCAAAACAAACAAAGGAAGAUGGAACAAUUGUUGCAACAUCAUGAUUCGAAAAACCAAUGUGGAAUAUAAAUCUUUAAUAACAGUUAUGUUCACAAGAGUCAAGAAGAUUCCUGUCCCUUCACACUCCACUGACAUUAAAACAUAGCCACUCAAAGAUAAACUAUCCUAAAAGGUCAGAACAGCUAAGAUUUUACCAAAGCUGAAAACAAAUGUUGUAAUAAAAAAAAGAGAACUCUGUAAGGCACAAGUUAUCACAAGAUGACGUGAUCAGACAUUGUAGCAGGGGACAAAAGAUCUCAAAACAUCAAAAAAUCUCCUAGAUUCAAGUAUGCGAGCUGAUAGUGUGAGGUUCCAUCUUCAAAGCAAAAAUACCCUAACAUACUAACAGCAGGAAAACUGUAACCUCGUCGAGCAUAAUGAUUUUCUGCACUUCACAAGUACAUAUAUAAGCCGGGAACAGUAAAGCAAGUAUUCGGACUUGUCAAUGCCAAUAAGCAAAACAAGACAAUGAAUAGUACAUAAAGAGUCUCAUUGCCAUCUGCAACCUUCCAAGUAAAUGCAUGUACACUUUCACAGCAGCACAAAAAUUAAAAGCAGACUAAGAACCUGAAAUUUCUAAGUCCAUUCUGUGUGCGAACGAAACAAGAAAUAAGGAUGGCAUGACCUUUUUCCGAGGCCUCUGGCCGGCAUGUCGCCUGUACAAAGGUUCAUAUAUGCUUUAUAAAGUUUUUAACCAAAAAGAUGAAAAUCAAACAGUGGUGUUCACGGUUAUUUGAUAUUUCACAACUGAUCAAAUACUCUAUAUAAAAGGGCCGUCCGCAUGAAAUAUAUUUAUCAAAAACUUUGUUUUAACAUAUGAUUCCUUGAUGUGAAUUCUAGCCGCAAUCGAUGGAAUUCAAUAGCAUAAAUUACAUGACUACUAACCAUUGCAUUUGACUAGAAAAUACGAAACUGAUUAGAACUUCCAUUCCUAAUACCAAACUCUAACAUGUAAAGAUCAAAGCUCUGCAAGAAACCACCCAAAAACUGAUAUUAAAUAAAAUACAAUACCUGUUUGAUAACAGCAGUGGAUUCCACUUAAUAGAUCUGAAUAAACAAGUAGUGCCCCAUGUUUUGCUUAGUUCCUUCUUCUUCUCUUACUAUGCCUUCCUCCCCUCCUGUCACUUUCAUCUGAACUCGAUUCUGACUUGGACUCUGCCCCUGAAUCUGACCCACUUGAACUAUCCGAAUCAGAGCUUUUAGACUCAUCAUCAGACUCCAACACUGGCUUUUGUUGCUGCAUUAUAAGACGUGGCAUGUUUUUUAAGUAUUCUCUCAGGCUCUCUGUAAUACCACCAAGCCCGAUAGAGGUAAAGAAGUUGAUGGAGAAUCUUGUAUUCUUCGGAUUAUCCUUAGGGAAAAUUGACUCAAUUGAAUCUUUCAUCAUCGGAUCGUUAAGCCGUUCAUUAAGUAACCGUAUACCAAGAUGUUCGGACAAUUCCUGCAAAAAAACUUAACUUAGUUACAUUGAGAUAUAAAGGAAAUGAGAAGAGUACUGCCUCGUGAAAGAGGGUUACUGUAUUCAGUAAUAGACUACAUACCUGGAAGAGAAUUUUUAUAAAAAUUCGCGAGGAUGAAGUUGUGUCUUCUUCAGUCAAGCGUAUGUAUGCAAGAAUAUGCCAAGGAAGAGCAUCAGUUCCCAGAAGAUGAGCAAAGAACUUUGCAACAUUACGCAAUUUAUUUGUUUCAAGUCGAUGUAUCAUUGAAUAUUGCUGCACAAAGCAUUGCUCAAAGUUUUCCUGGUAGACUUUAUUGAUCAUGCAGAACCGCUGGCCCAGGAGACCAUAAUAACGAAGAUAAGUUCUCUCCUGACUGCAGCACUCCAGAAGCAUUACACAUAACUCCAUCUGUUCCAUAAACCAAAAAAUAAAAAAGAUUAGCAAUGCUGAGGAUGUCACGAGAACUUAAAUUAUCAACAAGAAAUCAGGAAACACACAAAGAUCAUUCACGUAUACAAAAGAAGAAGAAGAAGAUAGAGACAAGGAGAAGAAAAACCGGUAAACUAUACUGAUUGCAAAAUGAUGAAGCUGGUAUCCUAUAUGAUCAUACACAAUAGUCAGCAUACCAGAACUUUUUUUUUUCCUAUUUAUUUUGACUAGUUGGACCAUGAAGAUUGACGAAGCAAUAGAGUCUAACAUUUGGAUCAACAGAGUACUAGAGUAGGCCAAUACACUGCUAUAGAGAUCGACCGGUUGGCUGAAGAUUGACUGGUCUAAACAUUUCAAAGUUCUCUGUAUUUAACUUGAAACCCUAUGUCCUUGAGGAUGGAUAUUUUCCAUAUAUAGAGGUCAAAUGGUCAGCUGAAGAUUGACAGGCCUAAUAAUUUCAAAAAUUCUGUAUUUAACUUGAGGAUGCGCAUGUACUACUUUGUUGCAGAGAUUAAUGAAGCUUUUAGAUUGAGUAAUAACAUUGAUGGUAGAUGAUGGGGAGUUUUACGAAGCUUUUAUGUAAUUUAGGUAAGAAAGAAGGAAAGGCUGAAAAAAAAAACUAUCGAGUCUUCACACUGGAAACAAAGAAUUUAUUGAUAAAUUUGAUCUCAAUCGUAUGUAUGGUUUUUCCCUUGAUCUGUAAAACCUAAUGGCAAGAGGUAGAAUUAAAAAGAAUCCAAAUAUCCUGAAAGUAUACCCUUCUUCUAUUUACUCUAAAUGACCUAAAUUUAAGUAUUUAGCCUAACACAGCUUCGAGUACGUGGGCAUCAAUGAGAAGCACCUGAACCUCAGCUUUGAUAGGGUUUGGAAGGAGUUUUUACAAUUAAAUAUAAUCAAUAUUCUGAAGCUGCCAUAUGGAGCCAACAUAGUUAGCUUCUGCAUGUCAGCUAACAAGUGUCUUUUCUCCGAGGAAUGCAAAUGUUUCUUGUGUAUGUUUCUAUGAUAAAAGACUAAAAGCCCAUUUCUCACCUUCACGAAUAUUUUGAUUUAAGCUUCUUUAAGAGAAGCAAGAGUUCCAAUGUAUAGCGAUUUAAUAUCAAGCUUGUGAGACUGACGUUUUGACCAUGCAUGAUGUUAACUUAACUACUCAUUAAUACAAAGACACCUCUAAGAGGAACAAUUUGCAUGAUUUAUUCAAUCCAAGGGAACACUUCCCAAAUUAAAAGUCUAGGGAGGUGCAGGCAACCAAACUCAAAAUCUGCAAGAUGAUAGCCCAGAUUCAAAGUCCAAGAACGUGGUCUCAACCAAACUCAAAGUCCAAAGGGAUUAUUUGCAUUACUCCUAUAACUCUUAAUCUGAUCAACACAUAUACUUGCAUAGUUCUCUAAAAGAUAUGCACCGCAGGCCAAUAAACAUACAAAUUUGCGUAUCUCUUGAGCAUGCUCAAUGAAGCGUAUUUUUAAAGCUCCGAACGUCAGUAAAUUUUCUACAAACUGAAAAUAUAAACUAAUAUGUACGUAGAGAAGGGAUUACAGUGCUGACCUCUUGGCCAGGCUCGAGCUUUAUUUUCAAUAACUUGUGACCAGCCUCCUCAAAAUCCACACUUGACAUGAUUGUAAGAUAUAUCGUUCUCCGCAGAUUAAUAAGAUUGGUCUCAGUUCUGUCCUUAAUUUCCAUCUGUUCUUCGUCCUCUUCCUCAGAUUCCUCUUCAUCCUCAUCAUCUGAGUUAGCAUCAGAACCUCCUUCUUCUUCUUCAGAGGAUUCUGCUCCCAGGAUACUUUUCUUAAGGUCUUCAUAAGCCUUCUCGUCCUCUAAGAACUGCGGAUUUGGCUUAAAAACAUCAAGAUUUGUCUCAGGAUCUAGAUCAUCUUCAAGCGAUAUCUCAUGGGUAAACUGAUCCUCCUGUUCCACGAGAUCCAACUCCGGUCGGAUAGCAGGGAAUCCCUGAAACUUGGCCUUCCUAAUUGCGAACAAGCCUUCAAUUAAGAACUGAACCCUUUUAUCUAUUUCACCUUCGUGUAGAAUCCCACGAAACCGCUCAAAAAUCCCGUGAAGGCCCAUAGGCGAAAUGUCCUGCAAUAAAGCGCCGCACUCCUUAACAAACCCGACGGCCACUUCAACACUAUCGUCGGUGGGAUUUUCCAGGAGAACAGUGAGAAGCUCCAAAGCAACGAGCUCGUGCGCGACGAGCUGAUUCACCAGAUGAGCUAUGAACUUUGUCGCGGCAAGCAGCUGCGGCUUGUCGUUCCGUUUGUAAGCCCUCUUGAGCUGCAGCACGAUCCUGACCAAGAGAAGCCGGCCGACCUCAGGGAACUUCGUAUUGACGAUGGCGACCAACGCGGCGAACACAUCGGUGAAGCCCGGCGAGGCCAUUUGGGACUUCAUACAGGAUCUGCAGAAGAGGCCCCUCCCGCGAAUUAAGUUCUCGGAGAAGAGCUCGGGGAUGAUGUUCUUGAUGUUGGUGGCAUUGACCUUGUUGACGAGCCCGUUGAUGCUCUUGCGAAGGGCAUCCCAGCUCAAUCUCUGAUACGCCUCGCUGCUCUUGUCCUCUACUUCCCGCAUCAUCUGCGCCAUCCUAUGCGGCGGGAUGUAGAUUCCGCCGGUCCGUCCGGGAAUUGCUUCCGGAAUCGGCGGCGGGGGCGGCGGGGGCGGCGGAGGCGGCGACUCGGUCGCGGCCUUCCUGGGCUGUUCCUUUCGCGGCCUCGCCUCUUCUUCUUCUUCUUCUUCUUCCUUGCUAUACCUAGACCUGCGGCGAUCCCUAGGGCUCUGGUCGCCCGCGCUGUUACUGCGCCGGUGCCGGUCUCUAACCCUAGACUCUCUCCCGCGAGAUCCCUUUUCGCGGUCGCUUCGCCGCCUUUCCCUGUUAGGCCUCUCUUCUUCGUCGUCGUUGUCGUCGUCGCCGUCGUCGUCCUUCCCUCUAGAUCUCUCGCGCCUCCUCCUAGGGCUUACGUCGUCAUCAUCGGGUCGCCGCUUCCUCUCCUCCCUCCUGCUCCGAUCCGCUCUCCCGUUGUCGUCGCCGUUCUCCUCCUCCCUACGGUGCCUCCUCUCCUUCUCCUCCUCGUCUCCGCGGCGGCGGCGAUGGUGGUGGCGGCGGAGCCGCUCCUCCUCCGGCGAUCUCCGCCGCCUCCCUCGCCCCCCGGAGUCGGAUCCGCUCCCCCCGUCGUCGUCGUCCUCGUUCUCGGAGCUGCUGCGGCGGCGGCGGUGGCGAUGCUCCCUCCUCCCAUCUCGGUCGCGGCGGCGGCGGCGGCUCUCGUCCUCCGCCGCCUUCGCCGGAACCCUAGAGCCGCGCCCGUUGUGGGCGGCGGAGGCCUCGCUCUCGCGGCGGCGGGGUCUUCUCUCGUCGGAGUCGGAGGAGGGAGAAGGGUCGGAGGAGGAGGCGGCGGCCAUGAGAGCUGUUUUGAGCAGUUUCGCGUUGUGGGCUUCAAAUUUCACGGGUCGAAAUCGAUGAGGUCGGCGAGGAAAGAAUACCCUUUCUUUCGAUCAGAGUAAACGGUCGCGAUUGUCCCUGAGAAAAGAUCCACGGUUCUCCUUAAUUCUCUGCAGUUAUUUUUUUAGGGAUAAUGCUAUCUAGUGAAAAUUUGUUUUAGAUUUCAAUAUUGACUUGCCACUGACUCCAAAAAAAAAAAAAAAAUCAAAAAUCAAAAAUUUUAAUUAUUAUCUCGAUAUGAAUUUUAUAAAAAUAAGAAGUUGAUAAGGUGUUUAUAAUUUAGCUUGGCAAUUGUUCGAACCCAUGACAAUUGAUUUCUUGCACCCAUUAUAAUCUGCAGUGUGUAGCUAAUGUUUUGAUGCAGAAUAUCUUAAAAUUUAAAUCUAAUACGACAAAUAUAUUUUACAAAAUCUAAUUUAUACAAAUUUUAAUAUGUGACUAUGAGAAAUCAAUGGUCUAGUUUAUUAUUUUUAAGUUUGAAUAUAGGCCUUCUAUUCUAAAAAAGAAUACAUCUACUCUACCACUAUAUAGCACGGCGACGGUUGCCAGAUCAAACAUUCAUAAAACAGCCACCAUACAUAAUUCGAAAGUACUUCUCUAGUACAAGCGGCAAAAGACUCGGUGGUUGGUACCCAAGGUUUCAAGUUCAAAUCCUAAUUGAUUCAUAUUUUCUGCUAAAUUUAUUUCUAAAUGAAAUAAACGAAGCGAAUAGCAAACUUACUAUCUCUCUCAAAAAAAAAAAAAAAAAAGUAUUCGAAAGUGUUUUGAACCCUUCCUCAUUCAGUAUUAUAGAUUUGUAUAAUAUUGAACAUUGAAAAGGAGAAGAUUGAAAACUUGUUUAUACUAGUUCUUUCAAAGUAUAAAAACAGAUGCUUUUUAAAAAUACAAUCCCAAACUAAGCUAGAGCCAUAAAUUGUUAGCUACUGAAACACUAAAAACCAAAAUAAACCACCACAAAAACACUAUGCAGAAAAAGCUAAAUAGGAAUCCUCUAGUAAAUGUAAGAGGUAUGAGCAGUGUCACAUUCUUGUUUUGCCCAUGAGGGAUCCACUGCUAGCAAAACAGUUCACAAUUGUCUUCACAAUUGUCUAUUGUCUGACUGGGUGUAAUUUUGCAAGAGAUCCCAAGGGCCUAAUUAUACAUGAGACUCAGACUGAUUAUUGAUAACUAAGGGUGAUCUACGCAUCAAAUCCUAAAGGGAGGGCACGUUGUCCAGGACUAGUCCAAGGCUUCUUCCUCACAAUGUCUCCUGAUUCCUGCUGAUUCGUGAUCGGCGCACUCUGAGGAAGAAAACCAACACAUUAACUGACAAAGAGUUUUGCCAAUGGUAAUAAACAGACUUGACGAAGAUUAAGAGGUGAAAGAGGCAGUAAGAUCUUCUCUUAAUACAUCUUACUUCAUGAUGAAGGUUGCAUCUCCAUUUCUCCCAUGUUUUGUCGGUUUUCCUCAGACGUGCUCCUGUGAGUGUUCAAGGACACCUUUGAAUCUGGAAUUUAGUUUUCCGACAUAAGAGGGGUUAAUCAUAAUCUUUGGUAGAAGUUCUAUAAUUUGAGAGCAUAUCUAUAAUUUGAGAGCACAAGAAAGGCACCUCAUAUCGGUUUAAGAAGAAACAUACCAGGGUCAAAUGAAGCAGGUGACAGCGGUGAUUCUUCUUUUACAGGUGCCACCGACUUUUCCGAAGGCUUGUGGAAGAGCAAACGAGCCACCGUCCUGUCUAUGGGAUUGGUAUAUGUUUCUGCAUUGCCCAUUUUAGCACAUCUGAAAACGACAGCAAGAGUAUUUUAAGGCAAACUUAUCAUCUGGGUAAAACAUGAGAACACAAACUCGGAAUGUAAUUACUUAAGAAGAAUUUUGAAAAGCCUUUCUAUGGGAAAAAAUGAAAAUAGUCGUUGAAAACUAUAAGUAUAUAUCACAAUGCAUGACUACAUGAGUGCCCAGAAAUUGUGAAUGGGCUCAUGCUAACCAGGGGCAAAGCCAGAGUUCAAUAUUAAUGAGGACAAAAGCAAUACAACAGAAAAUUUUAAUGACAACAAUUUUUUAUUUACUUUGCACUUAUCAACCGAUUAAUUAAUUUUAAUGUGGUUUACGGUGCACUGGGUCUACCAAUAUUUUGGAAGUUAGAUUGGGCACAUCUUCUUUGGACAGUAGCAUAUGCUCAUGCAUGAACUGCAUACAUGAAGACUUUUAACAAGCCGUAUCACAAAGGGCAAUUAAUGUUUGCAGAAGAUGCCAAUUCAAAAUUGUCUCCCAUAUCAUAUUCAUGUCUCACAUGGACUACUCAACACCAUGGCAAUGCACCCUCCAUUAUAAAAGGCACGCAUUCAUCAAGUUGUAAUGAAGUGCGGAACUCAGCGUAACUGAAUUUAUUUAUUUCUCUCUGUUUGGUAUUUAGAGAAGUCCAUUUAAGGUAGUUUAUGUGGACUCUUCAGGCAAAAAAGGGUGGUUAUAACCAUAAGACUUCAUGUAUCUAGUUCAAAUGAACAUAAAGGUGAGUACUUGAACUGUGAUUUCUUCAUAUUUCCUAUUAUUUUUCGGCAUUUUUUUCCAUGUAUUUUCGUUGAUAGCACAUCAAGUUAAUCCUAAAUUUCAACAAGGCUCAUGAAAAGACUCUCUCACACAAGGUAAUAUUUGGUCAAAUUUGUAUUUUCAUAAUAUGACAUUGUGUAGAUCUAUGCAAUAAGAUUGUACAACUGUCUCCAAAAUUUCACUGUAACAGAAUAAUAUAAAUAUGGGUAUGUAUUAAAGGACAGUGCAAGCAUCAAAUAGUUAGAUGUUUCCCCACAUCAUGAUCUAGAUUAGAAAAUCAACUCUAAAUGAAAAGAUAAAUCUAGAUAUAUUAUCUCACGUACCUUUUUCUUCUACUUGUUUCAUCACUUUCUGAUACUUCAUCAUCAUCUUUGUUAUUUGUAUUAGUACUACUUCUAUCACUAGCACUUUGCCUUUCCAAGGCACUUCGAGCUAAACGAAGCAAACUAUCCCGAAUGCAGAACCGAACUCUUAUGUCCAACUGUAAGGAAACCCAUUUGCUAUUAGUACUAAGCUAACAAACAGGAAUUCGUCUGCAACAACUUCACCAUAUGGUGAUGCAGAAAGAGAAAAAGCCAAACCUUUAUUAAAAAACUAUAUCUCAAUAAAUGGCAAUACACAAAAUCCAUAGGUCCAUUCCAAGUUCUUUUGCAUAUGUACAAAUACAUGGAUGCAAAACUAUGUAAAUACGCCAGAAAAUUUGGUACUUCUGUGGGUACCUCUGUGGCUUCCUUGCUUAUUUAAGGUCCACCGUUGCAUGGUAUUUAUGCAAAAAUAGUUUUUGCAUAUAUACCAACAAUGGCAUGCGUGCAAAUAAAUAGUCUUUUGGGGGUGCAUAUACCAACUUUGCAAGGUACUAGCACAAUUUUGCAUAUUUGCAAGGGAAUAUAUGCCACUUCAAAAGAAAGCAUACCUUUCCCAAGGCAUCUUGCAGCUGAUAGUAUAUCCUUUCUUCCAAAUAGGGAUCAUCCCCCAUUGUGGAGAUUUUCUGAGACUCAUCAUGGGCUCCCUGAUUGGUCAUCUCUGAUGAUGAUACCAUAUUCGUAGCGCCUUCAACUACAUCUGAACUGGUUAGAGAAUCCCUAUUUUUUUUCCUUGGAGAAACUGCUUGAGGGACCAGAGUAUCACCACCAGAGACUUGGCCAAACUGCUGUUGUUGCUGUUGAAUUGCAAGCAUUGCCUGCAUUUGCUGUCGCCGCCUCAGCUUUUCAAUCUUUUCUUGAGGUGUCAUCAUUAGUGACCCUAAAGGUACAUCCGGAAUCUUAUCUAAAGAUUUUGAAUUCUUUGAGGAAUCUAGAAAUGUUUUAUAGACAGCAGAAGGCAGUUUUGAUUGGGCCCUAUCAGCAUAAAUAUUUGGCAUCUGUGGUAUAGAAGGAAAUGAACACGCAGGAUAUCCAUAGCCAGAAAUCACAAACUGAUGAGAGUGGGCAAGUUGUCUUAUUUGCUCGGCUUUCCCAGCUUGCGUGUGUUGACCAACAGCAGGAGAUUGAAAAGUUUGUAGAGGAGCUUUAACAAAUGUCUGCAUAUUAGGGCUUGUAAACUGCUGGCCUCGGUUAUUUUCGUGGAGAAUGCCACCAAUUGAAUGCUGGGGAAAUUUAUUCUUGCUUCUUUCUUCUGCCUUCUUACGUGAUUUUGGUAGUCUCUUCGGUAUAUCACGCUGCAAAAAAGAAAAGAAGCGAAAACUAUUUAACACAAUGUAAUUUAAGAAAUGAGUAAUGAAAACUUUCACAGAAAGCAAUAAGGUUUUGCCAAUGUACUCGGAUUCCAAUGUCAACCAAACAGAAAACAAUAAGGUUUUGCCAAUGUACUCGGAUUCCAAUGUUAACCAAACUUCCUGACAAAAUGUUAUCACAAAAAUAAAACACUCGUAAGUUGCCUAACUGGAAUUCAUAAUUACUUCAGAAACUAUGGAUCAUUUAGUUAUAAUAAGCACAACUUUAAAUAGGACAGAAACAAAGGUUUAAAGUGGCGUGACACGGGGGUGUGCCGUUAUGUCCCUGGCACAAUAAGACACAGGCACACUUGCGUGCCGAUAGAUACGCAUACCCUCCUACUGGCACGCUUUGGCACGAACUUAUUUCAAUUUUUUUUUUUAUUCCAGUAAACUCUUAUAAUGUUAUUUUGAAAGAUUUAAAUAAAUAAUUAUGAAUAUUUACUAUGUAUACCUUACUAUACUCAUCAAUUAACAUGCAUGUAAGCUUUUUGUAAGUAAAGUACGACUAUACCUGAUAUGGAUAGAAAUUAAAAUACAAUAAUAAAAUUCACAAGUACAAUAAUUAUUUAAAUUUACAUCAUUACAUAGAAAUGACUGCUUAAUUCCACAUAGAUUGUCGCGCUUGAUCAUAUCGCAUAUUGUCAUCUGCAGAUACAAGAUUUAUUUGAUAAUGUUGAUAUAAGUAUUGCUGGUAUUGUGAGAAAGUCAUAUAUUCCCGAUAUUAUAUUCAUAUUUUUUGUUCUUUUAUUCUUUUAAAAAUAUCUGAUCAAAAUUUGUUUAGAAGAUCGAUUUUUGUUCCCCUGAUUCACCGAAAGCUUCGCGGUGUAACAAAUUUUGAUAAAAUAUUUUGCGAAGAAAAAAUGGACAAUAUAGGUGGCCCGGGGGGGCUCAAUACCCCAAAGAACAAAAGAAAAAAGAAAAAGCAAAAAAAAAAGCCAAAAAGGGAAAAAAAAAAAAAAAAAAAAAAAAAAAAAAAANACCUGCGCGUGCCACUUUGUCUCGAGCAGCACGCAUGCGCGUGCCGUCAGACGGGGGGGGGGGCGCGUCCGAGAAACCCCCCUGUACCGUGCCCCCUUCUUGAGGGCACGGUACGGCACGCCCCCGUGCCGUAUGGCACGGGCAGCACUUAAUUCCUUAGCAAAAACAGCUAUUAUAUCUUCAAAUUGUUGAAGAAGUAUUUCAAAAUUUCAACAAUUUAAAACAACAGAACCAACUUAAAAAGAGAACAUAUAAGCUUAACUAAACAAAUAAACUAUAAUUUGCAUCUUAUCCUUAUUAGACACCUACUGUCCUUAAAAUAUAAGCAGCUCAAGAUUUUUACUUAUUGGUUGUUAGUGACAGUUGCAUAUGGAAACUGCAGUGUAUUUUAGAUCAUUGUAUGGAUCGUAGUAAUUGCUUUUGGUGUAAUUAACUACCUUCUCUGCAGACUGGCUUGGUUUUCCAGAAUAUUCACUGGUAGCAUGAUUCUCGCGUUUAGUCUGCUCAGCAUAUUUGGCAUUAACAUCCCCUACCUGCCAAAGUGGACAAAAAAAUCAUCUGACUACUAAUCUGCUCGAGGGCUUUUUUUGCAUUUAGUCCCUCUCCAAAAAAAAAAAUUACAAGUGACCCUAACAAAGUUAUAUUUGCACAUAUGGCCCUCCCCUUGCCACGAGAGCGCCACGUUUGUAUUUUUAAAUUGAACACGGCGAAUGAAUCACCGUAUUUAAACACGUGAUUGAAUCACCGUAUUUAAACACGUGAUUGAAUCACCGUGUUCACAUCCACACUCUAGUCCCUCCUUUUUUACUUAGAGACAAAAAAAAAUACAAAAGGGAACAUGGUGAUCCAAUCACCGUAUUUAAAUACGGUGAUUGAAUCAUCAUGUUCAACUUAAAAAUACCACCUAAGCGCUCACGUGGUAAGAAGAGGGUUAUUUAUGCAAAUAUAAAUUUAUUAGGGCCAUUUGUAAAAAAAAAAGAUUUUGAGGGAGCUAAAUGAAAAAAAGCCCUCUGCUCUAGAAUUACUAUACGUGAAAAAUAUGCCAGCUCCCUCUGAACAUUAGCACAUUACAUGUCACUACCCGAACUUUAAGAAGUUAAUAUAAACUACAUAAACUUUGUUACUGUUUCAAUCAACAACCUAUCCCGAGUUCCGUUAACUUUUUUCUCAAAAAUUUCGAAGCACAUUAAAUCCAAAUGAUUCGAAUAACCCUAGAAUUGUCCAAACAGUCAAAAGAAAAGGGCGUUUUAAUCAGUUGGCUUUCACAUGAUCCCAGAUUGUUUUGGAAAGUCAAUAUUACUCAGGGCUUGGUAGUUGUUGACUGAAAAAUUUACAAUAUUGUGGUUUGUCUGAUUUUUGAAGUUCAGAUUGAUAUCUGCAUUGAGAAAUCGUUCAAGGGUCUUGCAUAUUUUUUCCUUGAAAUAUAUACACAUAUAUAAAUUUGGGCGUGCACCUUCUCUUCUAGUGGAAGAACUGGUUUACUUCUUCCACCAGAAAGUUCAUUAAAAUGGACCGAGGAAGAACCAUGAUUAGAAGAUUGAUCCCUGUCAGAUAGCAAGUCCUGCUCACCAGAAUUUUCAGUGUUUUAUUAAUUCUAAGCAAUAAUCAAAGAUAAAAACAAAUACAAAGACCUCAAUAUACUGAAAAAUAUGGUAUCAAUAACUUAGGCAUGCACAUACAGGAGUAGGGAUUGAUUGAGAGGUGCUACUAAUGACGUCUGAAGAUGCAGAAACAAACUCUCCAGUAUAUCCAAUAAUUUCAUUACCAAAUAUGGGGUCACUAUUGCUGCAAGAUAAUAACUUCUAUCAGAAUUGUCAAAUCAUUGAAGUGUAGAUACUUAAAAAGUUCAACAAGGAAAUUAGAGAUAUUUACCUAAAUAUGCGGUCAAGAUCAUCAAAAUCUCCAAUAUUAGCCCAAUCACAGUCUAGAAAAUUGUCGCUCUCCAUGUCUUCAUGAUCAUUACCAAAUACUUCCGACUGACCAUCUAGCUGCACUGUAUGAUUGGUUAAAAAAAAGCUGUAUGAUGUGCUUAAAGAUCAUCCAUUCUGGUAAAGUUGUUGACUCUUAUAAAACUGUCAUAUUACCUCUUACUUUGUCCAAGUUCUGGACAGCAUUAAAGUCAUUCAAAUAUGCUGUUGCCAUCGAGUCAUGAUCACUUUCAUUAUUGUAACUUCUACCAAGUGCGGCAUCUAAAGAAGGAAGAUCUGGCCAUGAUUCUAGUUCAAGUUGGGGAGCAGACAGUUCCCCAUUUGUUUGAAGCACCGGCUGGUUUUCGACGUGACGCCCUUGGUAAUCAGCAUUAGACCGAGAGGUUUGCUCAGUGGACGCAAAUACGGUAUUUUCUUCAGUUUUCUGCUUCUUAUUAUAAUCUGCAUAAGUAAGUAACCUAUUUUCUUCUGUGCCCUUAGGGUAAGGGACAAUAUGGUCUUCACUCUCGCUGAAUUCAGCCCAUAUUGUGUCCCCGACCUGAAAUUUUAAGGUAUUUAUGCAAGGACCAUUAUAAGCCUCUCUUGCGAAAUUAGGAAGCACCAAUAAAAAAGGCUGCUUGCGAUUAUAAUACAUACUUUGUAAAUAUGAAAGGAAAUUAUGACAUAGUACUUGGAUAUGAAACAAUAAAAAGCCAAAUAUAUCUAGCCAAAAUAUACAUGAAGAAGACAUGACGACUAGAACGAUUCACAUUGUUUCUGUUAAGAUCUGCAUUCUACAAUUACAGGCCAAUUUUUUAGUACUGAAAGCAGAUCUACAAUCAGUCAAAUAUCAAGGAAAGCUAGAAAAACAUAUGAUCAAAAUUUGUGAGAUUCAAAGAUUAAUUCAAAGCUGAUAGUCCACAGUGAUGUAAAUAUAUAAACAUAUCAGUUGAAUUAUAACAAAUACACAUAUAUAUACAUACAAAUACACACACACACAUUCGUAUCAGUUGCAUCACACACAUUGCUAAAUCUUAUGAAGAGGACUUAACAAAUAAACUCAAUAGAAACUAGAUGAUAAAACACCAACACAGCAUCUGAUUUAGAGGUCCUUUCCUUACGAAUUGAGUAAAUCAAUAAAGGUCUAGAUAUAACAGCUCAAGACAAGGUUUUGAAACAAUUAUGCUUCAAUAGUAAGUCACAUAGAAGCUUGUAAGGGUUUGAAGUAGGAAACAUCAACACUUUAAAAGUGUUUCCAUGUCCGUGUCCAAUACGGUUCCUAGGGUGACACUAUACAGACGUAUCCAUCAUGUGUUCACUAUCCACCGACUCACUGGCCAAGUGUCCAUUCCAUGCUCACAUCAUCCCCCUCAUGAUCCUACACCUCCCUCGCAUUUCCUAGUAUGUUGAUUGCAUAUCCGCUAAUAACAAAACAUAAGAAUUUUUAAUAUCCGUCUCCCUUAUAGUUAUUCAGAUGAUUGACUUUGUGGUUAAGUAUUCAGAUGAUUGACUUUGUGGUUAACGUCAUUAUUCUAGGGUUUUAUGAUGGAUUUUCCAUGCUCAGUUUCCUAACUGUAGAGUAGAUCAGCCAACUAAUUUGGUGCCAAAGGUAAACCAACCUAUUGUGUUCUAAUCUAGUAAAAUGCCGUGGUUGACCAGACUAAUAAGAUCCUAUGAUUAAAAUUCUCAUCCUGUUCCUUAUAGAGCUUGUAAUAGACCAAUCUAUCAUGCCAAUUGAAGGUUUGAUCAACCCAACUGAAGCAGAUUUUUGCGGUCAAAGUGUCAGAUGUGUGGUUUGCAGAGAAGAUUGCCAACUAGUCUGACACCCUAGUCUAACAGACAAGAACUGCAGACAUAGGUAUCUAUUGGGAUCUUUUGAUUUUUAAGAAUGUUUUUGGCUCUAAGACCUGUUCUUGUGCAAUAUUUGGCCAAGAUAAAAAAAUGGAUUAAUUAUCUAUUUUGAGGAGCAAAUCUUAGCUGGGUAAGUAGGUUGGUCAUCCAAGUUGGCAUUUGGCUUCAAAAAUAUAACAGAACUUGUAAGAACAACUUUGAAGAACAGUAGAUGUCACAUAUUUGUAUCUUGUAUGUUAAACUAUUUAAAGAUAAUUGUUUUUGCAGUGAUAUUCAUACUCUUCAACAUGGUGGCAUGCUCAAUAAAAUGCUUGGAUCAUGAUCUUGUACUCCAACCUCUAUAUUACAUCUCGAUUUCAUAACCACAUUUGUCAUGAAUAGCCACCUGAAACCAUGCCAGUCUUUUGCUGAUUACUUUAGACCGUCUCUAUGUUAACAUUCACAUUUUAUACAAAUAUACUUGCAGCAGUUUUGUUUCAUAUCCUUCAAAUUGUAGGAAAUAUGUUCACGACUAGUCGUUCCAAGUUUGAUCAUGAGACCUGAAAUCUUAAACUCGAAACCCCAUUUCCAAUCUUGACUCUUCUCUCUUUUUGAUCUUCCUCAUUUAACAAAGACCAGUGGUUGUCUAAAGAGUCAACUAGGAUGCCCGAAGCAUUAUUUCAAUACAAGUGGAAUAUAAUGAUACCACUAGUGAAGGGACAAAAACUUCCAUAAAAGUACCACGCUACGCCUCAAACACAACAUCCUUUCUUCCUACUUUUACUUCAGUAUGUAUUUUAACAUUUGAUGUAUCCAAAGCAUGAUUGACAAAAAGAAAUCAAAGAUUAAAUCCCUUAGAUCUGUCAUUACCCAUCAUUUUCCUAACGUUAGAUUGGUUGUUUUUACACAAUGAAGGAGGAUGUGUAUUACGAAACAAUCCCUAUAUAGAGUUUGUUCCUUGAUAACAUCCACGUAUGACUACUCAACCCCCCUAAAGCAGAGCAACACAUCUAUCUAGUUGGAAAACCAAAGUUCCAAAUAUAUUUCAUCCUAAUGACGAAAAACAACAUAUAGAUAGAUUUGUAGAUACCUCAUCUUGCCAUAACUCCAAAGACACAUACAACUCAUAAUCUUCAUCUGUAAACACUUCUAUAAUCUAAUAAUUGAAAAAUUGGUUCCGUGUUCCUUCAUACAUAGUCAAAACCCUUUAUUUGCAUAAAAAAUAAAAAAAAGGACCCCUAAUUCCUAUCAAGCAGCUACUAACCAUCUUUCCCAUAUCAACAUAUUCAUUUCACCAAAUCAAUGAACUUAAAAGGCAUAGAACAAUAGCAAAUUAUGCAAAAAAAAAGAAAGAAAAAAAAAGACCAAAUACAUCAAGAAACUGCAAGAAUUAAACAAAAAUAAUAAUAAUAAUCAUAAAUACUAGGAAAAAAUUAGCAGGUCAUCUUACAUAUCGACCUACACAUUUCACCAAAUAAAUGAACAAAACAGACAAAGAACAACAGCAAAUUACCCAACAAAACAAGACCUAGUUUAAGCUAAUAAGCACACCCAGAAACAGAAAGAAAUUAUACAAAAACACCUGAAAAAUAGGGACAAAUUACUGUACCAUCUUUACAUGUCGAUCUACUCAUUUCACAAAAUCAAUGGCUAAACAAUGAAAGAACAAUACCAAAUUAUACGACAAAAUUGGAUAACAUUUAACCCGAGAAACACAUCAAGAAUCAACAAUAAGUUAACCAAAAACAAACCACAAAUGGGGAGAAAUAAUCAGACGACAUAUACAAGUUGAUCUACUCAUUUCACCAUAUCAAAGAACCAAACAACCAACAAAUAUUAUCAAACUAUUCAGCAAAAUAGGCGAAAUUAAGCCAAAAAAACACCAAGAAACAGCACUAAUUCAACCAAAAACACACGAAAAAUGGGAAGAAAUUAUCGGACCAUCUAUACAAGCCGAUCUACUCAUUUCACCAUAUCAAAGAACCAAACAAGCAACAAAUAUUAUCAAACUAUUCAGCACAAUUAGGCGGAAUUAAAGGUAACAAACACAUCAAGAAACAACAAUAAUCAAACCAAAAACACACGAAAAAUGGGAAAAAAAUUAUUGGAAAAUCUGUACAUGUCAAUCAACUCACCUCACCAAAUCAUAUUAAAAAAAAAAAAAAACUAUACAGCAAAAAUUAGACCACAAUUAAGCUAACAAACACAUCAAAAAACCCCGAUUACUUAAACCAAAGUACAUGAAAAAUUAAGCAACCAAAAUUAAAGGGGAAAAAAAUUACGAAGGGGUGAUGGAUUCGAUUGAAGGGAACCUGAUCUUGAUCGUUCCAAUCAAACAUGUUCGAAGCAGCGAAAAAUCUCCGACCCCGAUCUCAGAAGCUUAAAACGAUCCCAAUCCGAAACGCACAUCUCCAAAACCCUUCGCCUCUGAAUCCACUCUAGCAGAAGCACCUCCUCUCUCUCUCUCUCUCUCUUCCCCCGUUCUUUGGCGUCUCACGCGGACUCACAAAUCGCUACUUCCCGGUUUACUGAGGCCUAUAGAGCCAUCUGUGGACCCGGUCUGCCACGUCACCAACAACCAUUUCGAAAUGUGGUUUUAGAGAAGUUUUAUCUAUAAAUAAAAUAAAAUUGUAAAAUUUUAAAUAUAUGGGCUAAUCAGAUAUAGAAUAUGUUCGUAUUUAAAAUUAAAAUUUCACACCAUUUGCUUUAUAGUGGGACAUUAGGUGUCGUCCUUAUUAUGUUCUUUUCAAAAAAAAAUCGUUCGAUGGUAAUAAAUAAUAAUAAUAAUAUUUAUUAUUUCUUACGUAGAAAAUAAAUUUUAUAGUUUAUAAUUUUUAAAAUAUUUAGAUUCAUAAUUAUUAAAUUAAAUGUAUGCAGUUCAAUGCUAUUAGCUCCAAAUAUUGACAUUAUAAAAAAGAAAUAUUUCAUUUUAUUUACAUUGCAUUACAAAAUGCAGUUUAAUUUUCAAAAAUUUAAAAUAUCCACAGUAGGAUUUUUCGGAAAGCAGCUGUCGGUGGACCCGGUGCACCGGCAAUUUCUCGGGCGGUUUAGAGGGAUGGAUGGGUGCGCCCGUGAACACGUGUCGGUACGGCGCUGGUUCGGUUCGGGGAGCACGCGAGGGAGCGCCACGUGUAGGUCCGCAUCUCGGGUAGUGGCGGAGAGGGGUCGAUCAAAUGCGCGGCGCUGAUUGGCUGCGUGGGAGUGGGGGGUUCUCCGGAGUUUGGGUUUCAAUUCGCGAAAAGGGAUUAGAAUUUGAAUUUGAGUUUUCGAGGUAAAAUUGCAUGAUGACGCCUUCAACUAUACCGAAUUCUGAAAUUAACACCUAAUUUUGUUUUUAGAUUAAGGUACCGUUUGGUUCGGGUAUAAACAAGAACUAGCUAUUAUAGGGAUAGGUACAAGUAUGGGGAUAAGAAAAAUAGCGUUUGGAUGAAAAUUGGGUUGUUCCCGAGGAUAAGAAAAAUAUUAGAAAGUUUUAUAUAAAAAAUAGAGGUGUUGGUGGGGAUAACCGAGAACUACUAUUCUCGGGUAAAAAAUUAGCGUUUGGGUAUAAAGGGGGGGAUAAGGGCCUAUCCCUAUCCCUAUUCCCAAACCAAACGGUGCCUAAAAGUCUCUUGACCGCUUCUAUUAUUUUUAAAGAUUAAUUUCACCCAGAUCCCUAUAAAUACAGUGAUUGACAAAUAUAUUCUUAUAAAGUUCAACUUUCAUAUAUUGUCCCAAUAAAAGUUCUAAUAUUUUUAUAUAUAUCUUUCUGUUUUGUUACCGUUAGAGAACUGUUUAUAUUUUUUAUUUCACCAUCACAAAUAUAUCCCUCCAAAAUUCAUAACAGUAUAAUAUAAGAGAGAUAAAAAUAUCAAAAACUAACCAGAAUUAAAUAUUUAACUUAUAGUUAACUAAAUUUUUUUAUUAGAUUCUAACGAUAGAGACAUAUUUGAAAACAUCAGGAUUUUUGCAGGAACUUAUAUGAAAUUAGCCCUAUUUUUAAAUUUGAAUUGCUAACUUAAUAUCUCGAUUAGCUAUUAGCAAGUAAUUAGUCUAAUUACAUCUGCUAAAAAGUACAAGGCCACUAAGUUUGAACGAAUUAUCAAUAAAUUUGAUAAAUUUCUUAAUUUAGUUCGCUAAUAUCAUUCAGUUCCAAAAUACUUGAUUCUUUUACUCUUAGGGUGCGUUUGGUUCGCGCUAUCUUUUAAAAAUUUCUAGUAAUCCAAUGGGAAUAAAAAAAAUAUGACGGUAUUUGGUUAAACGCACUAACUAAUCUAGUUGGUAAUAUUGAAUUCACUUGGAAAUAAGAUUCACCCCAAAGUACUAAUCUUAUUCCCUUGAGUGAGGGUGGGUAUCCUCAUAUUAAUAGAUUGGGGUAAUCAUAAUAUGUCUAAUCUCUUUCUUUCUUCCUACCUGCCGGCUAAUUUAUAUUAUUUUUCUUUACACUCUAACCUUAUAUCUCUCUCUAAACUUAUUUUUCUCUCUAAAAUUCAACUUUUUUUUCUCUCUCUAAACUAAGCUUUCUCUCUCUCUUUCUAAAAUUUCAACUCUCUCACUCCCUCUAAUUUUGACUAUAUUUUUCUUUCUAUUUUUUUAAAUUAUGCUCUCUCUCUCUCUCUAACUUAUACUCUCUCACCCUUUUUCCUAAAAAGAUGUUGAAACUUUUGAUAAUAUUAUCUAAAAUUAAUUAAUUAAAUAAAUAAAUUAAUUGUAUAUUUUUUGUAAUAUUAAAUAACAUGGCUAAUUAAUAUUACCGUGCGAACCAAAUAUAGAAAUUUUACAUUCUUAGUAAUAUGAUAAAUAAGAAUAAGAUUCUCGGAUAUCUUUUAUUCCUAGUAAUCUGCGAACCAAACGCACACUUAAUUUGUUAGUUAGCUAAGUUAAAAUUUUUGUCAAAUUUAAUAAGUCAAUCAGCUAUUAGCAGUUGAUUAUUCUGGUUUUAUUUGCUACAAAGCAAUUAAAACAUUAAAUUAGAUAAAACCAUUAAUUAAAUUUGAUAAAAGUCCUCAAUGUGUUUGAAAAUUUCAUAGUUCGCUAAAGUAAAAACUUUGUUGAAUUUAACAGCUCCAUUAGUUACCAGCGUCAGAUUAAAUUUUUUACGGAGUACUUGAAGUCAUUAAAUUUAAUAUAAAUUAUUAAUAAAUUUAGAAAUAUUUUAAUUUAUUUUUGUAAAAUUAAUUAAGGUUAAUAACAUCAUUGGUCCUCAACCUCUGUACUAUUUUUCACUUGAGUCCCCAACAUUGUUUUCGCAAUCAAGUCCCAAUCUCUUGAUUUUAUUGUAAUUGCGUCACAACCGUUAAAAAAAGGAGUUAAAAUUAAUGGAAUCACCAUUUUAGUGCUUUUUUUUGUAUGUUAAUUUUGGUUCCUAAACUUUGCUCGUUUUUUUACUUUAGUCUCUAAAAAUAAAAUUUUAAUUUUUUAAAUUUAAAUUCAAAAUUAAUAUUAAAAUUAAAAUUUAAAACUAAUAAGAAAUUAUAAUUUUGAAUUUGAAUUGAAAGCUAUAAUUUUGAUUUAAAUCUGAAUUAAAAUUCAAAUUUUAAAUUGAAUCUAAAUUUUGAAUUCAAACUUAAAUUUUUUAGUUUAUUUUUGAUUUUUGAGUUUGCAUUUAAAAUCAAAAUUUUAAAACUAAAAUUUAAAUUUAAAAUCUAAAUUUGAAUUUAGAAUCAAAUUCAAAAUUUGAAUUUUAAAUUUUAAAUUUGAAUUUGAGAUCUAAUUUCAAUUCUAAAUUUAAAAAUUUAAACUUUGAAUUCAGAUUCACAUUUUGAAUUUAAAAUUUCAAUUCAAAGUUUGAAAUUAAAUUAGAAUUAGACAAAAUGUGAAUUUGAAUUUCAAAUUAAAUACAAAAUUGAAAUUUGAAUUCAAAUUUAAAUUUGAAUCCAAUAUCAAAAUUUAAAUUUAAAAUUUAAAUAUUAAAUAAAAAUUUUGCUUCGAAUUUAUAAUUUAAUUCAAAAUAUAUUUUAAAUUAAAAUUGUAUAAUCAGUUGGCAUUGAUAUAACGCUUCCGUGGCACUAAGAGACGCCUCCAAGGCGACGAUAUAGUGCUGACGUGAUAUUUUUCGUCAAUUUUAACCUCAAUUUUGACGACUGACAUUUAAUUACAAUAAAAUCAAGAGGUUGAGGAUUUGGCCGUAAAAAAAAAAAAAAUGGAGACCAAAGUAAAAAUGGGGCCAAAGGUUGCGGACCAUUGGUGUAAUUAACCCACUAAUGGGUAUUAAUUCCAAGAAACUAAAAACUAAUAAGAGGGCAUCAAUUGAAAAGUAAAAGUUUUGGGAGCGAAUUAUAAAUAACAUAUAGGUGAGGUGUCUCCAUGCAUUUUUACCUGCACGGUUGUUUUCUGGAACUUUCCAGCAAGUGGGGGGCGGGGAUGUGUUGGGCCGUCGCUCUCGAUUGACCCAUCCACGUUUACUGGCGUCGCAUGCUCUUAUCUUAUCCGCAUGGUGGGGACGUUAACGGAUACGGAUUUUGGAAAUGUUAUUCGAACCCGAAUUCAAAUACAAUGGAUUUAAUUCGAUUCAAAAGGAAUAUAAAUAUAUAAAAUAAAAAUUUGGUGAAUUUGAAUUCGGGUAUAGGCUUUAUGUGCAUUCAAUCCGAGCCCCAACUUGUCCAAACUGAAUUGAUUUUACAUUAUUAUAUAAAUUACAUAAGAAUAUCUGAUGUUAGUUUUGAAUUUACUUUUUAAACAUUUAAAUCUUAAUAUGAUAUGUUUUGAUAUAUGAUAAAGAGAAAUAACUAUUUCGUAUUCGGAUUUUCGAACGUGGAAUCAGAUUUCGAGUUUUCAGUUAGAUUCGAAAUUGGGUACAGAGUUUCAAAAACCGCGGAAUUCGGAUUCACAUUUCGGUUUGGUUGUCCGCUUCGGAUUUAUGUUUUUAAAAAAAUCAUCUCUUGUUAUCAUCCCUAUCCACAUGUUUGGUUUGAGAAAAAAUUAUUUUUCUAAAAAAUAUUUUUUCAUCUCUUCGUCUUGUUUCACACUUCUUUUUUUUUUUUUUUUUUNUUUUUUUUUUGAAUGGAUUAACGUCUAUAGGGUUAAGAAAGGAAAAACCGCUUUUCAACUUGAGAUUAUUUUUUCUUUUUUUAAUUUAUAAAUUCUUAACUUUUCAACUUGACUUUGGCUCAACCCACUCUCACUUGGUAAAUCUAAAUUGUAUAUGGCAGGUCGGUUGGAUUGAUUAAAAUUGGAUUAACAAAUCAAAAGGAGCUUUUUAAUUAAGAUUGAUUGUUAUUACUCUAGAACGAAUACAUUCCUAUAUAGUUUAACUUUUCAUAUUUAAUUAUAUAAAAGCUCAGUAAUAUUCAUAUUUGUUCCCUUGAUUUGUAACCAUUGGAACACUAUUUAUGUUUUAACGGGAGAUAAAUAAAAUGACAUUUUUGUUAUUUCUUUCUUUCUUUCUACCAUCAUAAAUAAUAUAAGAGAGGUAAAAAGAUUAAUUUAUCUUAUUCACUGAGGCUUCAUUUGGGAUUGCAUUACAUGCGGUAAAAAAGUACGUUGGAAAAAUACCUUAUUUGUUUCCAUAUGUAAUAUUGCGUUCCAUAUAUCGCGAUGAGUCGGCUCCACCGGAGAACGCAAAAGUAUAUUCUUAUAUGCUUUUUUCUCAACUCCAUUUUAUCUAAUAGCGCUAAAUAGACUUCAAUAUAUACCAAACUAAGCCUAAAUAGAGCUAAUUAUUUUACAUAUGGUUAACUAUAUUUGAAAAUAUUAAACUUUUAUAAAGAUAAAUAUGAAAAGUUAAACUUUAUAGAUAUAAAUUUUCUAUUCGAUAUGUUUACAAAAAGUUGUAUACAAUUAACCCAUUAUUUUAUAUUAACAUUGCUGUGUCAAUAACCUGUGUUAUGGCUAUGGUAUGAUAUGCACACAUCCUAUUUACUUUGUUAGCAUAUCGUGCACAGACGACAUGGGCUUAUCAAUAUGGGUUAAUUUCAUACAUGUCUUUAUAAAUAUAAUAAAUUAUAAAAUAUUUCUUUAAAUUUCAACUUUCAUAUAUUGUCCCAGCAAAAGUUCUAAUAUUUUAAAAUAUAUCUCUCUAAUUUUUUUAUCGUUAAACCUUGUUUAUUUUAUAAAUAAAAUGAUCGUUUUGUCAUCACAAAUAUAUUCCUCCAAAAAUCCUAACUGUUAAUUAAAAAGGGAUAAAAAGAUCAAUUUACCUCAUUAACUAAGUAGGGUUAAUAAUUUUACCUAACGGAUCCUAACGGCAAGAAUAUAUUUGAAAAUAUCAGAAUUUUUACAGAGAUAACAUAUAAAAAUUGAAUUUUGUAGAAAUAUAUUUGUAAUUUAUUAUAUUUACAGGAGUUGUAUGAAAUUAACCUUAUUUUUUAUUAUUUGUAAACAUUUUAUACAAAAUUAAUCAUAGUCCCUCAAACCAUUAAUUCUUCGGUGGUUUAGGUUGGCAAGAAUUGACUAAGAUGCCAGAAGCUUGAAAGCUCCUCUCUGGAUUGAGUGUUAAAGUUUUAGGAUAACUACAUGAAUAUAAUAAUGCUUGCGGACAGUUUAAAGUAAAACUGUUCAAAAUAUUCGGCAUUCUAUAUUCGAUUCGGACCGUAUCUGGAUUCUGGACCGAUAAAAAAUGAAUAACAUUAGGUAACAAAAGGUUACCCAUUCAAAUGUCGGAUAUUACUCCGGAUACUUUAUAUCAUACCCGACUUGGAUCGACCUGAACCCAACCUUUUAAUAGGUAGGAUUCAAUAGUUUUCAAAUCCGGACACGGAUCCAGUGAAAUACAUGAUAAUAAAUAAAAUAUAUUUGAAGUUGAGGGAUCAAUUUCAAUAGGAUUUAUAGAUAAGUGGUCUUUGUGUUUUUUCUUCCAAGUUGUUUAUUUCUUUUUUUAUAUUUUUUUACUCUUUUUUUUUUUUUUAAUUCUAGCUGUUUUUUUUACUCUUGAGUCUUCCUCUCUAAACAGGAGUCCCUAUUUAUUGCUCAAGUUAAAGAAAUGAGUAAAAAAAAAUCAAAAAUCAAAAAUCAAACCUGAGCAAUAAAUUUUAUUGGACUGUGUGCAACUAAUUAAAAUGCGAGUUUUUAAUAGUAAAAGGUUUAUAGUUUAUCCAUAAACUAUCUAUAAAAAGUAUAUACAUACGAAUAUAUGUACCAGAUCUAUAUCCGACAUAUCCAGUCUUAGAAAGAUAGUGUAUGGGUCGUCACUAUCCAGCCCCACUUAAAUAGACCCGACAGAUAAAUUAGUAAUUUAAGUAUCUAGAUUUAGACGCGACCUGAAAUUAAAUGAGUAGAGUAUUUUUUUUUAUAUCCAUUUCUUUUCAAAAUAUGGCUAUAGUAUAUCAACAAUUCAGAUCCGGUCCGCAGAUACUUUAGUUUAAAAAAAAAAUUGAAAAAAAAUCUGGUGCUUCUUUUCAUUGGGCUGCUCUGUUAUUGGGCCUUGGCCCUUUUUGUAUUGAGAUUUUUGGAGGGAAAAAGAUGCUCUUCUCAACAUUUCCUUUCUCUGAUGCAUGAACUCAGCUUUCUGAACAAAAAUAAUUAUAAAAUCUGUAUUUAAGAUUUGCAUCCAAAAGAAUACAUUUCAUUCCUUGAAAUAAUAAAAGCCCAAAAAUAGAAAAAGAAAAAAAAAACUUUUUACAUAUCGUUUGGUUCAGGAAUAAGUUUUUUUGGGUUAUUCCUGGGAUAGGUACGUGCAACUUUAGGGAUAAGCGAAAAUAAAAUUAAUUUUUUGUUUGGAUGAUAAUUGGGUUACUUCCGAGAAUAAAAAAAAUAGUGUUUGGAUAGUUACGUAGGAACAAUAGGAAUAAGACUAAUUAUAAUUUUAAAAUAAUAAUAUUUUAUAAAAUUAAUUAACAUCAAAAUAUCAAUUAAAUAAUAAUUUAACAAAUUAAUUAAUUAAUUAAUUAUGAAUACUAUUAGAUAAUUAUAAAUAUUAAUAAAUUAAUUAAUUAGAAUAUUAAUUAAUUAACCAUGAGUAUUGUUAAUUAAUAAAUUAACUAACUAUAAAAAAUUUGAUAAAUUAACAAAUUAAGUUAAUAAAUUAAUUAGUUAAUUAUUUAGUUAGUUAUAUUGAUCAAAAUAUUAAUUGGUUAAUCAAUGUACAUAAUAGUUAUUAUUAUAUAAACACCAUAAAUAAUUAAUUUUUUAAUUAACUAAUUAAUUAUGAGUAAUAAAUUAAUUCACUCAAAUAGUUAGUUAAAUAUUUAUUAUAAUAGUAAAUCAAGUGGAUAAUUAUUAAUCUAUCUAAUUAGUUAAUAAAAUAAUAUAUAAUAUAUUAAUUAGUAAUAUUUUAUUAUUAAAUUAGUAAAGGUAUAAAGAGAAGGAAUUAUUAUUCCACCAAAAAGGCGGAACAACAAUUUCACCUUCUUAAUGGGUUAUUUCAGAAUAACCCAUUAAGUGAGAGAUUAAAUAAAUCCAUUGAUUCAUUUAGUAUUUGGGUGAAUUAAGAGAUAAAGUGGUCUAUUCCUACUUUAUCCCGCAACCAAAUGCUGUUUAGAGUUUUGAGGUCAAUUUUUAUCAACACCUUUGGAUUUUGGAAAAUUCUUGCAGUUCAGAUAUUGGCCAUGCAAUGAUACCUUACUUGAAAACUUCAAAAAUGGUAUCAACAUUUAUACCGAUCGUCCCUAGAGCAAGUGGUAAAGGACUUGGUGGUUGGUAUCCGAGACCCAAGUUCGAAUCCUAAUUGAUUCACAUUUUCAGUUAAGUUUAUUUCUAAAUGAAAUAAACGAAACGGAUAGCGUGCUACCUAUCUCGCAAAAAAAAAAAAAAAAAAAAAAAAAAAAACAUUUAUAGGUUUAUCCUAAUUCCUGGGUAGAACCCAUCCAAAGUGGAGUAUUACUUAUCUAGUUCCAAAUGCAAUUAUUAUCUCUAAUAGCGAAACGACUUGUCCAUACAUAGAAAACGUGUUGUUCUGGAUUUGUUUGCUCAUAAUUAAUAAGUUGCCUUUGUGGAAUUGCAAUAUGAUGUGCACUGAGCUUUUGAUUUCGUGCAAUAAACGGCACCUUAUAAAAAAAAAAACAAAGAAAAUUACAUAAUUGUAGUGAAAAAUAUUGUAAUAAUAAAAAUAUUUUGAGAAGCAUUAAAAAAAUGUAGAAAUGAUGUAGGCAAACAUUGGAUGCUGAUGCAUAUGAUGUGAAGUAGAAUUAUUUGAAUUGCAAAAAAAAAAAUCAAAGGAAUUAGAUUAACAUACUAUUCAAUUUAACAGUUAGAAAACUAUUCGGACACAAUUAAACCUAUAAAUACGUUUUAGCUUAUAACUUGAUUGCAGUAGAACAAUACACAGGCAUCUACAUUUUAUUUUUCUCAGCAAUUAUUCACAAACAAAAUCACAAAUGUAUGUAUACAUAUGAUAGUAUAAAAAUCAAUUGAAAGAACAAAAUUCACAAUUUAUACUCUCCGUUAUUUCUCAUCUCUUGAUUCUCCGCUGCUGCUGCCGCCGCUGCAGUUGCUGCAGCUGCUGCAGCUGUUGCCUCCUUCUCUUCUUAGUCACGUAUUCAAACGCCUUAACCAAGCGCUUCCUGAACCUCCCAAUAUCCAACCUGACGUUCUGCCCGUCCAAGUACACCUUCUUCGUCACCUGCCAGCCCUGCGCGUUGACGCUGUCCGGAUCUUUUAAUAUUGUAGCAUUUCUGCUGUACUUCCUGUACAGCGAGCUCUCGCGCGGGAGUAUCUUGUAGGCGGCGUACCGCAGCCCGAGCUUCCGCGCGGGCUCGCCGUAGUACAUCUCCGCCGCCCAGUCGGUCCCGAGCGGCACGACCUGCACGAACACCGACCGCGGUCUCAUGAACAGAAAGUGCGUCAUCGCCGCCCCGUGCACGCCCACCAUCACGUCGCACGAGUUCAGCGCCCGGUAGAUCCUCGCCAGCUCCGUGUCCCGCUGCGGGCUCAUCACCUCCACCUCGAACCCCACCGCCUCCGCCGCCUCCACCACCUCCCGCUCGUUCUCGAUCGCCCUCGAUCCGUUCCGCGACAUUAUCACCAUCUUCGGAGCCUUCUCAUUACUUCUGUUGUUGCUGUUGCUGCUGCUGCUGCUGUUGCUGUUGUUGCGAUGUGAUUGUUCGUCGCGGUCGAUGGCGCGGACGCGCGGCGCGUAGGCUUCGUCGAGGAGGCGGCGGAAGUCGCUUAUACUCUUGUUCGACUUCGUCUUCGCCGCGUCGAUCGAUAGCUCGUCGUGGAUGCGGAGCCCGACGAUGGCCUCGGGGAAGCAGUGGGUGCGGCGGUCGCCGGAGAAGUCGAUCGGCGGGUAGUCGGAGAGGCGGGAGACGACGUGGCCGUGCUUCGUCAUCCACCAGUCGUGGUACUCGAGCAUGACGAACACCACCUGCCUGUCGAAAUGCUGCGACGUGAUGUACAGCGGGAUUAGCCCGUCGUUGAACUCGUGGUACACGUUGCCGGUGUACCCGCCGGUGGAGAACACCACCGCGGGGACGCGGUGGACGACGUCGCAGCGGUUGGCGGCGGCGACGGUGCGGAGGCUGAGCUCGUCGAUGGUGCUCAUGACGCUGGCCUCCCACUUGCGAGUGUAGGGCCUGAUCUUCUCGUCGACGGUCGAAUUGGAAGGAGAAGAAGAAGGAGAUAGGAGGAAGAUGGAGUUGGAGGCAGCGUGGGUGCGGACGUCGCCGCGCAUGAAGCAGACAUCGGUGCGGAACGCCGUGCGGUCGCAGCAGAUGCUGUCGUUCCUGACGGUCGAGCACGGCGCGGCCCAGCUCUGGUCGUCUUCCCGCGGCCGCAUUCGGAAUUCUACGUCGUCUGCUCCGAAGGUGUCUGCGCACAACAAAGCAGUUAUAUUAAAUCAUAACAAUUUGCACGUGUGAUGCGUACUUUGACCACUACAACUACAACUCGGUCACGAUACGAUUGCUUUGUAUGAAAAUUUCAAUCACCGUAAAACUUUUACGGUGUUUUAAUCAUUUAUACUCGGACGGCGGAAGGAGAGAGAAAGAAAGAGAGAGAGAGAGCUUACAAAAGAAGACGCGAGGGGCGAAGAGGAGGGUGCAGGAGAUGAGGGAGAAGAGGAAGAGGAGGCGGAGGAAGGCGGUGUUCGACACCCUCGACCGGUGGUGGCCCACGAAAUACGCGUAAUCCAUCAGGUGGCGCAGGCGAUGAGCCUGCUCCACCGGAGGAUCUUGAAUUUGAUGCUUCUGUUUCUGCUGCUGCUGCUGCUGCUCCUCCAAAUCCUCUUUCCUAUGCGGCUGCACAUGAUAAUUCCUAUGAUGGUGCACCAUCUCUCUUAACUUACUAUUAUUCCUUUCUCCUCCCAAGAAGCCUCUUUUUAUUCCACAAGCACUUUUGCUCCAGUGGCUUAUGUAAUUGUGCUGCACCAAAAAGAAGAAGAGAGAGAGUAUAGAGGAGGGAAAGGAUAGUAAUAGAAGAAAGAGAGUAGGGGGAGAGUUUUUUAUAUAUAUUUUUAUAUAUGAUUUAGGGGGGAAUUGGAUGGAGUAGAGGAAGAGGAGAGGAAGCGGGGGAGGGAAAGAAACCGUGUUUAUUUUCUUUGGUAUUAAAUGUCUCUCCGAAGGUUCUUUAAUUUGGGGAGUGAAGAAGCUAUUUUCUUGGACCCGGUCUAUGGACCCAAAGCAUGAACAGCUAGCACUUAGUAAGCUAUUUUCUUAGAGAGCCGCCUAAUGUUAUUUUUUUGAGAGAUAGGUAGCACGCUACUCGUUUCGUUUAUUUUAUUUAUAAAUAAACUUCACUAGAAAUGUAAAUCAACUAUAAUUCAAACUUGAGAUCUCGGGUACCAACUGCCAAUCCCUUUAUCACUUGCUCUAGAAACGGUCGGUAGAGCCGCCUAAUAUUUUGGUGGCUAAUUUAGCAAACGAAUAUCAAUGGAUCAGAGUCUCUAGUUCAUCUGAAAAGUGCACUAAUAAAAUAAAAUAAAAUAAAUUUAAUCUUAGUUAUUUAUUACUCUCUCUAAAUAGAGAGGUAGUAGUAAUAGUGGUAUAUAUUGUAGCGUGAUAAAUUCCUGAGUGAUAGUUUUUUUUUUUAAGAGAGAUAGGUAGCACACUACCCGUUUCGUUUAUUUUAUUUAGAAAUAAAUUUAGCUGGAAACAUGAAUUAGCUAGGAUUCGAACUUGAAUCUCGGAUACCAACCAUCAAGCUCUUUGCCACUUGCUCUAAAGACGGUCGGUCCUGAGUAAUAGUUUAAAGUGAAAAAGGAUGAGUGAUAGUUUAAAGUGAAAAAAGAAUGACCGGAUGAUUGAAAUUGAGAUAUUGAAUAUUUAUUUUUUUCAGUAUUUCUUUUACCCGAAAUUAAUGUGUGCUUGGUCCCACUUACAAUUCUAUUUUGACAUACAAAUUAAUGUGAGUUUGGAUUAAUGAAAAGUCUAGAUGUCUUGCUUGGAGAAAAAGCAUCAGGAGAUUCUGAGAAAAAAAAAAAAGUUAAAUUGAGACUUAUUUCUAGAAGAGAAAUUGUAAAUGAUAUUUUAAUUUUUUUUCAGUAUUCAUAUUUUUUUCAACAUUAAACUAAAAAAAAAACUUCACACUACAUUAGAAUAAAAUAUUCUCAAUAAAACAAUUUUCAAUAAAUGUUUUUAUCUUUUACAAAAGUGACUUUUGGGCCAAUAUGUAAUUUCUCCUCAAUAGUUUCAACGGUCCAAUUUUUCAUACUUAUUUCUCUCUCAAAAAAAAAAAAAAGUUCAUACUAUUGCUAUUGCCGUCUAUAGAACGAGUCAAGACACACAAUAAAAACAUGGAUAAAAUUCAAAUACGAUCCAUGUGAUUUCGCACUUUCUCACUUUAAUAAUUUAUUGUUUAAAGUAUAUCAUUUUAGUACUUUGUCGUUUUAUUUUUUUAUUUUCGUUAGUCCCUUCGUUAACUUUUUAUUAAAUCAUAUAUUAAAAAGUUCAGAUACCCCGUCUAUAGUUUAUCAAAUAUUUACUUCAGUGCCUUUUUAUUUUAACUUUAUCACUAAUUUAACGAAAAAAAUUAGUAAAAGAGAUAACAAAAGAAUAAAAUAAAAUUACUGAGAACGAAAAUGAUACACUUUAUUAUUAAAUUAUAAAAUAUUAAAAUAAAAAAAAUGAAACGACGUGAAUGGUAUUUGAAAUUUUUUCCAAAAAAAACAUUGUUCGAAUUGGUGUGCGGGGUGUUGUUGGCGUGCGGUGUUGGGAAAAGUCAAGAGAGGUGGGUUUACCGGAAUUUGGGUUGCAAAGCUGGAUUGGGCGGCGUGGUUUUGGUCCCAAAAGGAGUUACACUUUUUUUUCUUUUUUUUUUCUUUUUUUCAAUAAUGGUCCCAAAAGGGGUUUGAGUGUUGGGUAAUGCAUACUCUAUAUGUUUAUUCCUUUAAAUUUUUUUUAGUGGCAAAAAUGUAUGGGUAGAGAUCCUAUUGUUGUAUUAUAAUAUUGUGACUUGGUUUCUGUGUAUUUUACUUAAAAAUUUUAUGUUUAUUUUUCAUUUGUCAUAAAGUUAAUUAUAAUUUUUUUAUCUUAAAAACUCAAUUCAGAUCGAGAAAUGAUAUUACAUAUGAUAUAACCCAUAAAUCUAUAUAAGUAGCUAAUAUUGUUUAUAGUUAAGCUGAAGAUUCAAAACCUUCUUUUUUUUUCCUAAAAAGAAAGGAGGGUUCCCAAGAACACUUAAACAUGUUUACAGAAUAAUUAUUUUAUGCUUCUUUAGAAAAUGAUCUACUAAUUUUAGUUUAUUUCAUAUAUAUAUAUAUAUAUAUUGGACUUCUGUGUUUGUAAAAGUACCAAAUUAUUGGUGCUUGAAAGUUUUAGUCCUUAGAUUAAGAAAUGUGUGAUUAGGAUGAUAAUGCUUCUCUAGAGUUGAAUAGGUAGAUGAUUAAAUUGUAUAAUCUAACGAAUAAAAAUGAUUAAGAAAUAAAUUUAGUGGCGAAAAACUUACAAACACGAAUUGUUUGAUGUUUUUACAAAUACUAUAGUCGGACUAUAUAUAUAUAUAUAUAUAGAGUCCGGCUACUAUACUAUCAAUAGUACCAAGCGUUUGGUACUAUUGAGUUUUCUACCAUUAGAUCUACCUGUUGAUCAUUUUCAUCCGUUAGAUUAUACUAUUAAACCAACCACCCACUCAACCCUAGGAGACCACUAUCAAUUUAACCGGGGACCACUAUCAUCCUAACCGCACAUUCUUUCAUCCAACGGCCGAAAACUCAAUAGUACCAAGAGCUUCGUACUAUUAAUAGUAUAGUAGCAUAAUUCUAUAUAUAUAUAUAUAUAUAUAUAUAUAUAUAAUCU